rnacentral:lncRNA from 1 species
GAUUUGUCGGUCCUUGAGAGGUGGGGGGCAGCUGAAGGAACUCCAGGAGAAGAGGUAACAUUUCCUCUGCUGGAGGAUUUGAAUAUUGAUUUCUGCCCGAAGUUGACUGAUCUACCUGAAGCACCGAAGCUAAGUGAAUUAUCCAUAAGAAGAAAAGGUGAUGAUCAGCAGCAAAUAUCCCUAGAGACAGCUAGCAGAUGCAUCCCUUCAUUGUACCGUCUGAAUCUGGAUGUGUCACCCGAUGAAACAGAAACAACAUUGCUGCAUGUCAAGAAUAAAUUGAAUGGUACACUCGCCUUGGCAGCUAUGGGGUUAGGUCGGUGCGACCUUUUUUUCUCCUCCCGCUCAAGCGCACUGGCGCUAUGGACAUGUUUUGCACAGCUAGUAUAUUUGAGGAUUUGGGAUUGCGAUGCUCUUGUCUACUGGCCAGAAAACGUGUUCGAGGUCCUGGUAUGCCUGAGGAACUUAGAUAUUUCCGUAUGCAGAAAUCUGACAGGACGCACACAAGCUUCUGAUGAGCAAUCUGCUCCAGCACCAGAACGUGGUGGACUCCUGCCAUGCCUGGAGUCUCUACAGAUAGUAGAAUGUAAAUCUUUGGUAGAGGUCCCCAUCCUGCCGGCAUCUCUCAAGGAAUUACAUAUUCACAGCUGCAGUGAUGAAAUCGAGUCCAUCGUAUUCUGUCAGCAGGAGGAUACGAGGUUGGUGAGUGGAGAGGGUAUUGUGCGGCCGAAGACGUCAUCAUUAAUUCCAGGGUGCAACAGCAGCUGUGAGGCCACAGCGUCUACAGCUGUACUGAAGCUGUCAUUUGCAGCCAACCAUCGCUUCCUUCCAUUUCCAUGCCUAGAAUUUCUAGCUAUAAUGCAUUGCAGUGGCUUGUCAGAGGUUGCCAAUCUUCCUCCGUCUAUCAAGGCCUUGAACAUUUCUUUAUGCGGCGAGCUUCAAUCCCUAUCAGGAGACCUCCGGUUGCUGGAAGAACUCUUGUUUUAUGGAUGCGAAAGACUGGUAUCCUUACCGGAUGGGCCUCAAGCAUACUCAUCUCUUAGAGUUCUUCGGAUAAUGAAUUGUGAAGGUAUAAAGUUGCUUCCGUCAAGCCUACAGAGCCGUUUGGGCUACCUCGAGGAGAAAUAUCUAGAUGCCCGUUACGAAGGUAAUCUCCAGUUUCUUUAUUUCUUUUAACAAAAUGGUCAAGAGCUCAAUUGGUGUUACCUAUAAUGCAACUCUGUGCUUAAACAUUCUGUUAGCUAUUACAAGAUGUGGUAGGAUUUAGUGGUAAGAAGUUUAUGAGUAUUACUCUGCGUUAAACAUUCUGUUAGCUAUCUAGCCAAGCCGUUCAUGAUGUAUACAUUAUAUUGACUAUUGAGUACAAUGCACCACUAAUAUUUAUGUGCAUGUGUGUCAUCGAAAUACAUUAACUUCGUGUAUUAUUGCCAUUCGGGUAUCUAAACACGUACAACCAGAUCAAGAACCGCAGUCAUCCUUGUAUAUCUCCUUUUUGUUCGUACAAAGAAUUUAUAGCUAUAAGAUGAUCUUUGUUGUUCACUUUUGAUACCUUGGUUGUAAACUUGUAAUUGCUAACUCGAAUCAUGUAAUAAAAUCAAUCAUCUUCCUUUAGUUGUAUUUAAAGCAGCAUGGCAUCAUGGAAUUAUUGCAGCCGAAUUCACUAGCUUCAAUUAAAGUGGCACUUGUCCUAGCGUUCCUCUGGAAAUUCAUGAUCACUAGCUCCGUUGUAUGCAGUUCAAGUAUGUGUAGUUUUCUUUUCAUGGCUUAUGCCUUUUGACAUAAAUAAUAAUUUUCCUUUGAAACAUUUACUAUUGGGUGCCACAGCAUAUUCUCCUGUGUAUAUAUAUACUUUCUAACUUUGUGUUGAUUUGCAUGCAUAAAUUCUAACAUCAUGGCCUGAUUGCCAGAAUUGCCAGAACCAACCUGGAAACGUUCAAUCAGGAAGCUGGUGUGCUCGAAAUAGUAGAUCAAGGCCUGACCAAAGAAAAUUAUCUCCAAGGUAUUUUUGCAAAGAUAUCACCAAGGUUUGUAAUAUUAGUGUUCUUGAUGAUUGAUUGGAAAUGAUGCUAGCUCCUAAUGCUGACUUCCUAUGCGCUGUGACUUCCUUGUAGGAUGGUGCCAGACCUGCAAAAGAUGGAUUACUGUGACUCUUGUUUAGAAUGUAUCAUAUGCGCAUUCUGAAGAUAUUCUCCAGUAAAGUCAAGGCAAAGUCCUAGAUUUGAGCAGAAAACAAAUCCUAGAUUGCAAGCUGAAGAAUUUAGCACACAGAGCUGCGUGCUCCAGUCUUUUAUCCGUCUUCAAACUGAAGACCUUUAUUUUGAGCAGAAACGAAGUCCCAGACUGCAAGCAGAAGAAUUUAGCAUACAGAGCUACGGGCUCCAGUCUUUUAUCCUUAUUUUUUCUUUUGAACUAUGACAUGUUUGCAUUCGUGUCUGCUUCAGCCUCCAGCACAAGCGAAACACAGGCAGAGGAUACUUGCCAUAGAGUAGACCAACAGUCCAACGUACUCAUGUUGUUGCUCGACAAGCUGUCCAAGCUGCUGCUUGAUAUGAACUGAAAGUUCUGAAUUUUCUCUCGUGUAUGUUCUGUGUAUCAAAUACUGAAUGGUGUGCAGGGUGAUCCUGCAUCCUGGAAGGCUUUGGAUGGCACGGUCUUGUGCAGAGAUCUCAUUGUUGUUGACCUGUUUCUUCAAAACUGCAUGUGCAUGAGCAAGAAUGGUGAUUGUUAUAGUACAUGAGCAAGGAAGAAGCUCUGGAUGCAGGGGAUGGAACAGAACAGAGACACGGACUCUGUCAACAGCGAUGCUCCCAAGCGAGCAGAGGCAGAGCAGCGAAGUUGCCACACGCCACCGCAUCUCCCUCCACUCCACUCCCACUCCCCCGCCACCGCCAUGGCCGCCGCCGCCGCAGCGCACUCCCUCCUGCACCCACCGGCGGCCCGCAAGGCCCCCACACCUUCUCCCUCUCCUUACCCUUCCCCAUUCCUCCGCCUCCCGGCCCCCGCGCACCCGCGCCUCCCGCUCCGCCUCCGCUCCACCUCCCCGGCCGCCGCCUCCUACCUCACCGACUUCCCCAACCCGAACGGCAUCCUCGCGCCCAUCGACGUGGACGCCGCCACGGAGGCGGAGCUUCGCGAGAACGGGUUCCGGAGCACGCGCCGCACCAAGCUCGUCUGCACCGUGGGCCCGGUCACCUCGUCGCCCGAGCAGCUCGAGGCGCUCGCCGUCGGCGGGAUGAACGUCGCCCGCCUAAACAUGUGCCACCGCCGCCGCCAUACCCCCUGUCACCCCUGCGUCGACCACUGCGCCAAACAAGUCAAGCUUCGCUGCCUUCGCCCCUGCGCCACCACGCUUCGACGAGCUAAGAACGAUGGUGCGUGCACAGGUCGAAGCCCUCUUCAAUGCUCAGGCCAUGGCGCUUCAGCACACAUUCCAGGCCAUGGCUGAUUCUCAGGUACGCUCAACCCAUUUGCUUAGCCCGGAUUCCUCUGUGCAACCUUCACCCCGCAAGGAUCUUGGAGCUUGCGGCGUCGACGAGUUUUUCACCAGGUCCUGCUCUCUGCUGGACGGACUGGAUGCUCCGCCGUGCCCGGCGGGGAAUCAAGCCUGGUCCGACACCCCGGUGCGCUUGGUGCCUCUGCACCGGGUCUUUGACAGGCUAGGGUCGGCUCUUCAAGGGCGCCCCUCGGUGCGGGAGGUCGAGCUCGCCCUGAACCAGCUGCAGCUUCCCGCUAACACUCCGGCUUCCGAUGACCUUCGCGCCGCCGCGUCCAAGUCUUCUCCGGCCGCCGGAUCUGCCCCAACGGAGCUGCUGAACCAGAGGCAGGGUGCUCCAGAGAAGACUGCCCAAUGGGCCAACUGCCAGGCCCCACGGACCAGCUGGGCCCUGGGACCUCCUGCGGCGGCGACCGCGCCGGGCGUUCACGGGGGGCCUCGGGUGAAGGCGGCCCCAUGGGCCGUUUCCCUGGGGCCUGCUCCUGUCUGGCCCAGCAACGGGGCUCCCGCUGGACCACCUGGGCCUGUGCGUACCGCGCCAGUCCUCACCACUGGGCCGGAGACGCCAGUGGGGAGCCCGGGGGCCGGCGCGCAGACAACCUCCAAUGGGCCCGCUGGAAACAACUUAGGCCGCAGCACUGAGUCUCACCUUUCCGUUUCCCAAACUCAUGACAUGCAGGUUGCCACUGUUGAAGCCAUGGAGGCCCAGCUGACUACUCAAAGUACUGUGGAGGAAACACACACUGUGACUGCAAGUGGGGCCGUUGAUGAUCUCUUCGCGGCCCCGGCUUCGCCGAUUCUACGCCAGCCCCCGCCACGUCGCCAAUGUCGACGCUUUGAUAUGACCGCGGUCCGACGGAGUGCAAGACUCGCCCUCAAGCCGUCGGUUCCCGCGCUGCAGCGUGCCCAGCACAACCUCUGGCGCAAGCUAGGGGUCUCCGACGACGAGCUACGCCCAAUAGAAGAUAUCCUACAGGACUACGUCAACUCUCACCAGUGGCCACUUCCAGAUCAUGUCAUCGCUGCGAUGACGGCACUAUUUGACCUGGACGAUGAGGGAGCGGAGCAGGUAACUGAAGCUUUGAUCCAGCAUGCAGGACAGGCGGUCCAAGACAUCCAGAACGAGCUCGCCACCCGUCAGGAAUGAGUCAUCAGGACUCCACUUGUUUUUGGAGACUUGUUAUCUCCAUGUAUCAGUACUCCCUACCGUACACCUUUUCUUUUAGCUACCCUAGCCCUGCUGGCUGCGACCUUCGGGCUAGGAGCUGCACUAAACUUCACGACUCGACCUCCUGGUCUUCUCGCGCGCGACUUCGCCCUGCUGGCUUCGACCUUUGGGCAAUCCAUAUGCACGAUCUGCACGAUCAGCGACCCUCCAGCACAUCUGUUGAUAGCGCCUGUCCCACCAAGAAUCGUCAUCUUAAGUGCGUCGACGUGCUCGCAUAUACCCUGAUCGGGGCCACCUUCACACACCAGCACUACGGAUAGUGUGCUACCAUCCCCUGUGCGAUAGAUCUUCCAAAUGCUCACAUCCAACUUCGACACCCUUAGUUGGAAUGUCCGCGGCCUCAAUGCCCCUGCGAGAUGCAUGCUUGUUCACGACACUCUAAAAGACACGCCUUGUCAAAUUGCGUGCCUUCAGGAAACCAAAUUAAGCCAGAUCGACGCUUCUCUGGCUGCCUUUUUAGGGGGUUAUCGACUGUCAAGCUUCGCUUUCAAACCGGCGCAAGGCACUAAGGGAGGAAUACUCAUCCUUUGGGAUUCUAACUUCAUCGAUCUGACGGAUAUCCAAAUUGGGAGCUACUCGCUUUCAGCAACAGUUUCACCGAAAAACUACGACACCGACUUCCGCCUUACGACAGUCUACGGCCCUUCCAGGACGAACCUAAAGCCAGCUUUCAUGCAGCAUAUGCGCAGUAUGAAGCCUGACAACGAUACCAAAUGGCUUAUUCUUGGCGAUUUCAACCUCAUAUACAAGACACAAGACAAAAACAAUAGACGCUUGAACCUCAGCCAAAUGCGCCGUUUCCGCAACACCCUCGCUUCUUGUGGUCUCAAGGAAAUUCACCUACAGAACCGCAAAUACACGUGGAGCAACGAACGCCGCCAGCCUACGAUGUCACGCCUCGACCGCUUCUUCUGUAAUGAAGCCUGGGAUCUCGCUUUCGAUGACCUGACCCUCCACGCCUUGUCCUCCUCCCACUCUGACCACUGCCCUCUGUUACUAGCACGUUUAUCCGGCCCACGCCAACCGCGGCCGUUUAAAUUUGAGAACUUCUGGACAAAGCUGCCCCACUUUCAAGACAUUGUAAAGCGAGCUUGGUGUUCACCAACACAUCAUACUGAGCCUUUCCACCGCCUAGGGCACAAAUUACAUCUAACGGCACGGGAGCUACGGAAAUGGAGCAACUCCAUAAUCUCGGACGCGAGACUGAAGCUACAGAUGGCCCAAGUGGUGAUCCUCCACCUCGAUUCGGCACAAGACGUCCGACCGCUUUCGGAGGCGGAAUUUGAUCUACGAGCUAAACUCAAAAAACGUGUCCUAGGCUGGGCCGUGAUUGAACGUGCUCGAAGGCGACAGGCAUCGCGCGUUAAAAACCUCCGAGAGGGCGAUGCCAACACGCGCUACUUCCACCUAAAGGCCAACGGGCGACGACGGAAAAAUUACAUCCAAAGACUGCGAUCCGAUUCUGGAUGGGCACUUACGCAUCAAGACAAACAAAAAGUCAUCCACGACCACUUCUGCAAUUUCAUGGCAGCACCGCAGCAACGUUCGCGGGAUCUACGGUGGGAAAUUUUGCCCAACUCCCAGGAAGACCUUUCGGACCUCGACCGGCCCUUUGACGAACUAGAAAUCUUCCACGCCAUCAAACAGCUUCCGCAUGAUCGGGCACCUGGCCCUGACGGAUUCACUGGUCUAUUUUUCAAGACAUGCUGGAACAUCAUUAAAGGUGACAUGAUGGCAGCGAUCGACGCCUUCUACAACAUCCGAUGCAACGACCUUAACCUGCUUAAUAAGGCUAACAUCGUCCUUAUACCCAAAAAGGAAGGUGCGGAGGCCAUCCAGGAUUUUCGACCAAUUAGCCUUAUCCAUGCGGUUGCAAAAAUUAUCACUAAAGUCCUGGCACUCCGUCUACGACCUCAUAUGAACGCCAUCAUCUCACCCUGCCAGAGCGCAUUCAUCAAGGGCCGUAGUAUCCACGACAACUUCCUCUAUGUCCGAAACACUGCCCGACGUUUACAUCAAAAAGCAGCACCGGCCCUGUUCAUGAAACUCGAUAUCUCAAAAGCCUUCGAUUCAGUACGAUGGGACUACCUCCUUGAACUACUUCAACAUAAAGGCUUCCCUGUUCGCUGGAACCAAUGGAUCACGGCCCUUCUUGCCACCUCGACAUCAAAAGUACUACUGAAUGGGGCGCCUUUGCCGCCGAUUCAUCACGGACGAGGUCUUCGACAGGGCGACCCUCUUUCUCCCCUCCUCUUUGUUCUAGCUAUCGACCCACUACAACACAUCAUCUCUCAAGCCACCCAGAGGGGUCUCCUUACUAAGCUAGGAGGACGCGCAGCACGGUUCACAACAUCCCUGUACGCUGAUGAUGCGGCGAUUUUCAUUAAGCCAACACGAAAAGACAUAACCAACUUGACGAACAUCCUGCAGCAAUUUGGCGAAGCCACAUGCCUACGUACAAACCUGCACAAAACACAGAUUGCACCCAUCAGUUGCAAUACCGUCGAUUUGGAUCACUUACUUCGCGAUAUGCCGGCAACAAGAACAACAUUCCCAAUACGCUAUCUGGGUAUCCCACUCACGACAAGGCGCCUAAGGAAAAUUGACUUCCAACCCCUCGUUGAUAAACUGGCCGGCAAGCUAUCAGCAUGGACGGGUCGUCAGCUAACCCAAGCUGGCAGAAUAACCCUCACAAAAUCGGUCCUCUCGGCACAACCGGUAUAUUUUCUCACAGCUAUCAAACCGAGUAAAGAGGUGCUCCAGGAUAUCGACAAAAUCCGGAAAAAAUUCCUAUGGGCAGGGGACCAGCAACUUACUGGAGGCAAAUGCAAAGUUAACUGGACGAAAACCUGCCUCCCUAAACAACAAGGGGGCCUGGGUAUCCCGGACCUUGAGACAUUCGCUCGAGCCCUCCGUCUCAGGUGGCUCUGGCACGAAUGGGUAUCCCCGGAAAAACCCUGGAACAACACGGGAACCCCUUGCGACGAAGCUGACAGGAAGUUGUUCGCGGCAUGCACCUCCAUCACUCUGGGAGACGGCAAGAAAACUAGCUUCUGGUCAUCCGGAUGGUUGCAGGGCCAACGCCCUAAGGACAUCGCCCCGCUCCUUUACGCCAUUUCGCGCCGAAAGAAUAGGAGCGUCCAUGAUGCUCUCAGUCGAAAUAACUGGUUACGCGACCUUGUGAUCGACCAUAACAUCACCGUUUCUCACCUAGCGUCGAUUGCACAGUUGUGGGAAAUGGUCAAUACUACGGAACUCAGAUCAGGGGAGGACGACACUAUCACCUGGAAGCUGACAAGCUCAGGACUAUAUACUACGGCCUCGGCAUAUAAAGCACAAUUCCUGGGUUGCACCGAAACACCACACGUUUCCUCCAUAUGGAAAUCUUGGGCACCACCAAAAUGCAAAUUCUUCGCGUGGUUAAUUACGCAGAACCGAAUCUGGUCCGCUGAUCGCCUAGCCAAGCGAGGCUGGCCGCACAACACUUCCUGCGUCCUAUGUCGUUCCGCUAUGGAGACUGGACACCACCUUUUAGCUGAGUGCCGAUACACACGGAGAAUCUGGAACCAAACGGCGACAUGGCUAGCGCAGCCUGCACUACGACCAAAUGAAUGGAGACCUUCAGCCAAUGCUAUCGAGUGGUGGACGGCUAUCACCACAACACCGGACUCGCCACGUAAAGCUCUACGCAGCCUCACCCUUUUAAUCAUGUGGGAAAUUUGGAAGGAAAGGAAUGCACGUACUUUCAAUCGGCAUGAAACAUCACCGUCAACCCUAAUGACGAAGAUCAAAGACGAGGCCUCCGCUUGGCUCUUGGCAGGGGCCAAAGACCUAGCGACUUUACUAUCUCGCGAGUAAUCACGUUUCGGCCUCUAGUGUUUUUUCUUCUUUUUUCCUUCCUUUUCGCUUUUCUAUCCCGAUCUGUCGGGACUCCAUCUGUUUUUUCCUACUAUAUCAAUGAAAUAGGCACCGUCUCGUGCCCGUUCGUUCAAAAAAAAAAACAUGUGCCACGGGGACCGGGAGGCGGGAGUGGCACCGGGGCGCCAUCCGGGCAGUCAGGAGGCUCAACGAGGAGAAGGGCUACGCCGUCGCCGUCAUGAUGGACACCGAGGGCAGCGAGAUCCACAUGGGGGACCUCGGCGGCGCCUCAUCGGCCAAGGCGGAGGUGAGGUGCUGUGCUUGUAUGUAAGCUGCUGUCCAGUUUUGGACUUGGCGUUGCAGUUUUCAGUUUUCAGAUUGAACGUAUUCCGUGAAAUGUGCUUGUGCAAUGUGGCAAUGUGGAUGAGAGGAACGGGUGGUGGCAGUGGCAGUGUCAGGCAUUGCCGUUUCAUACUUCUGCAAAACCUAGCGAGUCAGGAUUUCACCAAAAUGUUUUUUUUUCCAUCUUCGAAAUGGCUCAGUUGAUUUAGAUUUUCAGCUCAUGUUUGAAAUUGUUAUAGAAGGAAAAACAUUCAGAAUUUCAGAUUGUCAUCAAACACUGGAUUGUGAAAGUGGUAAUCAUUUUCAAGGCUUUCAAUCUUUCAAAAAAAAUUCAAGGCUUUCAGUAUCAGUGCAACUCAAAUAAAGUGCAUGGUAAACAUCACCAUGUUUUGGCUUUCUCUGCAUAUAAGACACGGUGCUGGAGUCGUUCGACCGCGCUGAGGUCCCAAUCCAACCGGUCAGGUUUUUUCAAGGUGUCGAGUUUGAGUGCUUACAUGCGUUGGCCCCAUUCCAACCGGGCGAGUCUUUAUUUUAUUUUCGUUUCUUUUCCUUUUUUUUGCCCAUGGCCUCCCAGGGCCGUAGUCUUGUAUUUUCUAUUAUAUCAAUAGAAACUCGCACUAUCUUGUGCGGUUCGUUCAAAAAAAAAAGUGAUAGGCAUUGAGCUUCUGAAGGUCGUUGUCUAGAUAUUAGGCCCAAGCCUCAAUGGCUUUUUUUCCCUGUUGCAAACCUUCCUGUAAGUAAAGGGCACACCCAGUGCGAAAGCUCCCACACAAGGUGGGGUUUGGGGAAGGGAAUUCCUAGAUAGCCUUACCCUUGCAAAAUUCUUUUAAAUUUUUGCAAAGAGGUUGGUUCGAACCCAGGACCUCCGGGCCACAAGUGGAGAGUUUUACCACUGCGCCAGGUCCGCCCUUCCAGCAGAAUCUCUUAUGCUAGGUUUAAUUUGAAUUAGCUUUAUUAGUAGAAUGCUUGGCCCAUUUAUUGGUAAAUGGUAAAAUUCAUAAAGAUUAUCCUCAUUCCCUUAAUCAAUUUUAGGUGUUUAACUUGCAGCAAAUUCGAACAAUGACAGACAUGCAGCAUAUUGUUAGUUCAUCUGUAAGACUUGGCUUGCUGGUUUAAUGCUUUGUUAAAGGUUUGAAGUUAAUGUGUCUACUGGUAGCUAUUGAAUCUCUUUAUAGUUUAUUUAUAUCUUUUUUCUUUAUUAGUAUAAAGCCAUGUAGAAGUUUUCAGAAUACUGAAAUUUCUAGUGUUCGUUUUGUGGAGUCUCUGCACCUACAUCCUUUUUUGCAACUGCAUUUCAGAUCCUUCAGUUAUAGCAUGAAUAAUUUUUUAAAAAAGAAAAUUCUAGGUAGAUUCUUGCCCGUAGUUAAUGGUAGUGUCCGAUGAUAGUUGUGUUUUAGAUAAUACAUUAAUAUUAGUAAUCCAAAGAAACUAAACUACUUCCAUGAUGCUAACUGUCAUCAGUGCUAGCUAGGGUCACUAUACCAAAAAGGAGAUUCUAUCACCAUUCGGCUGUUUAUCUUAAGUUUUUAACCAUACAGUUAGAAGUUUGAUUGUACACCUAUUCAAUAAUCCAAGGUUUUCUUGAGCCACGUUAUUUACCCAAUGACUUCCAUUUUUCUUGGUAUUAAAACCUUUCUGAAGUAAUUAACAAAUCAUGUCACAUUUGUUGGAUUCCACAGGAUGGAGAAGUCUGGACAUUUAGUGUUAGGUCAUUUGAAUUGCCUCUCCCAGAACGAACUAUUAAUGUGAAUUAUGACGGGUUUGCUGAAGGUAUGUAAGCUGACCUAUUUGUUGAUAUCUUUUUCUGUUAUUGUUCACUGCCAUAAUUUUGUCCUACACAGAUGUGAGAGUUGGUGAUGAGCUUCUUGUGGAUGGUGGAAUGGCUCGGUUUGAGGUGAUUGAGAAGUUGGGACCAGAUGUUAAGUGUCGCUGCACAGAUCCUGGUUUAUUGUUGCCACGUGUGAAUCUUACAUUCUGGCGUGAUGGCAGUAUUGUCCGUGAGAGGAAUGCUAUGCUUCCUACAAUUUCAUCAAAGGUAAAUGCACUAGCAUAAUAAAUUUCUUGCUGUAAUUACCAAAAGACCGCAAAACUUUGUUAAUCUAUGCCACCCCUUGGUACUAGUAUUGCAAUGGAUUUACAGCUUGUUUUUUGUUUUGUCAAUGCCAUGGUCAGUUCAAAACAACAUGUAUUAGUUCAAAGCCUUACAUUGUGCACUGAAACUCAUGUCUUGAUAGUUUUUAUCAGCUAUUUCUUAAGAAGGCUUCUACCACCUAGAGUUGUUUAACUGAAAAUUUAAUCUUCUAGUAGCAGAUACUAAUAUUAUAAGUUUAUAAUAAUGCUGCUCCUACCCCCGACGCAGCUUGCCGGAGGCCCUUGACGCAGCGCCGCCAUCCGCAAGCCCUAACGCCGCCGACGCGCCCCUCUCCUCGGUUGAUUUGGGAAGGCGCGGGACUGCGGCAGGGAGAUUGGGAAGCAGAGCUUCCUGUUCCUCGUCUGCUACUCUGCUUCAAUUGGGCACCGGGAAAAGCGAUGCUGCCGGGUGCUCGGGUUCUUGGAGAGGGGAUGGAAUGGAAUGAUGGAUCGAUGCGGGAUGCGUUGCUGUUGCUAGCGGCUUCUGAUUGGAGAGAGGAGAGAAGCUGGUUGCUUGUGUUACCGUGAACGUGAAGGAAAACAGAGUAGGGAGGAGAGCAAGCUGCUGGUGCAGGAGCAUCAUGGCUACGGCAAUGGCAGCGGUGCGGUUCGUUCCGUCAAAUCCCAGAUUUCGGCCACAUUUGAUUGAUGCCAUUUAAUUUGAUUCCUUAUUGGUCGCCAGCCACGCAUUCGAUUCAUGGACGCGCAGGCCCCGGUGGUGAUGCAAGCCACGGUGGUUCCUGCAUGACAAUAGGUUCUUGUUACAAGACAGUCAUCAGUCAUAUUGUGAAGAACUGAUGACAGUUUUGAACACAAAUAUAGGAUUUCAUCACGAUACACUAGAGGUUUACAAUCAUCAACUACUGCAGGGGAAAAAAAUGGAGCUAGUAUUUUUGAAAAAUGGCCCGAUGUUGAAUCUGUGAUAAUGCAACUUAUGUAGCAGAGCAACCAUGGUAACACAAAAAUGUGCCAAGAGACUGACCUGAUCUUCUUCAGCCUCUCUCCAGGUCAUCCCCGAGCUUCAUGUCAAGGGUGUUGGAAACAACCUGGGAGAACCUACCAUCCUUGUAAUCCUUCUUCAUGAUGAGGAAUCAGUCAGGGACCAUGAACUGGCGGGGGUUAGGAACCACAUUCUUGAGGCGCUCAAGCUCAUCUGGGGACACCUCACGAGCUCUGCACAAAAAUAUUAUUAUCAGAGCUGAACUUCAUGCAAUGGGGCAUUCUAGCUGUAACAUACAACAGCCUACUGGCCCAGUUUGUUAUUGUGGCACAUGGAAAAUUAGUGGGAAAGUGGUGCAAUGCACCCAUCUCAAAUCUCCACCUUCAAAAAACAUGAAUGCCAAAGACUUCUGCAUAGGCUGUCUUUACAUGGCUGAUGUUUUUUAAAACACGUUUUCCAAUGGGCUUCACUCUCAAGUAGAUUCAGAAAAGCUAAUUGAUGAUCGGCACCAAGCCACAGAUGACUGCCACUAAUGAACAGCAGUAGAUAAUUUCUGCCUUGUUGCCAAGAUAGGAAAACCAAACUGAUUGAACAUCUCGCCACAAUUUCUUAGAUUAACUGAGCCCAUCACCUACGGGAAUGGAAGGGGGGAAAAACCAAAAACUGUUACCAACAUUACAAUUUGUCAAAUAAUCUUCAUAUUCGAAUUCCCUUUACAAAAAUACCGCUUUGCCAGACCGGACCAGAAAGCAAACCAAACCUAAAUUCAGUAUAUUUAUACAUGUUGAAUCGUCUCUUGGUCAUGUUUUCUUCAUUGAAAAGAAGUAAUGAGAAGAAACAUUCUUCAAAAAUUACUGAUCAAAACCAUAUUUUCAGUGUGCUACGAUUCUACAGGGACUUCAGUACAAUGGAAACAUUGGUGCUACAACGAAAGAGCUUCUGAUAAAGUUAGGAGUGAUUUUAAUCCACUUGUCAAGUUGGAAACCAAGUGCAGUUAAAGCUACUUCACAAGGGCCUACUUACUCUUCCAAGCACAGCGAUUAAGUUGGUAGUUUAGUUGCGCCAAAAGAACACGUUACACAUAAGCCUAUAAAUCACACUACAGCUAAUCACUCACAGCGACCCUUACCGUCAGGAUCCAAAGGCCUCCACUACAAGAGCCAACGCCAAAAGCCAUUUAAAAACUCACCGUUGUUCAGGUCGAUCAGUCGAUGUCAGCCUUCUUGCAAACGAUGCUGGAGAAGCGGCGGCCGAUACCCCUUGAUGGAGGUGAGCGCGAACAUGAUCUUCCGUUUCCCUUCCACGUUGGUGUUGAGCAGACGCACACUGACGCAGGAUGUGCUGGAAGUCAUCCCCCGCGAUUAGCGACGGCAAAAUCAACCCCAGCUGCACGUCAGACGAAUUGCGCGCGAGGAUGUGAUAUCUCCACAUGGUCCGAUAAAACUAUAAACAUCAAAACCCAAAAUGAUGAAAAUUUAGCAAGAAAAUAAAGACCAGGAGCCAUGUUGAGUCGAUUGGUAAACAUAUUCACUGUGGUAAAAUGCACACUACAGAUAAAGGUCAAAUUAGUCCCUCCAUCCUAGAAUAUAGCUGCUUUAGCAAAUUUUGUUCUAGCAAAUUAGGCAGCAGCACUAGCCAACAAAGACGCAUGCACAUAUAGGCCCACAACGCGCGCCAGAGUCACCUGCUGUGUAGCGGGACAAGUUAAUAGAGGUCAAAUUAGUCUUUUAAUCUCUGUCUGACAUGAGUCCAAAACUAGCUACGUACUGUAUAUUACAAGAUGGACGGCAGAAGCACUAAGUGAAGUAGACUGGGGAACAUGGUAAAAUAGAUGAUCCCAAAGCAAUUUCUAAUAAUAAUGGACCCCCGAAGUUGAAGUUAUAAGAUAUUUAAGGAUACCACUGUUGAAGAGUAAAAGGGUGAAUCGAUACAUAUGAGGGGAAAAAAAGUUAACUACACCAAUUUUCUGGUACUAUACGACUACGAUCAUGAUAUCUUUAUCAUUUAAUGAAAAUAUAAUUACUUAAAUUUGCAGGAUAAAGUCUAUUUUCACUCACCAAAUGUAUUAGAUAAGUAAUUCUAAUUGCAUUAUGUCGAAGUUCAAUUCUAAAAAUAGAAUGAUACACACACUCUUAAAAAAAAUACAAAAUCCAAUUUUUAUAUGCUUAUUAAACAUGUACCUUAUAAAAUGCUAGGAAAAAAGAUAAAUCAUAGAAAAUAUUGCAAAAAUCAGAAAACAAGUGGACAUAAAUUCAGAGAACUUUACUAAACAUCACUAACAAUAAAAAUCAUUGCAUCUAUCCUAUUUUCUAUAAAAUUCCUUAUCUAUGCCAUGGUGAAGAUAAUCUAAAGUAACCAGUGAAUCUGAAUGUAGGUUAUUAGGCCCCUCUGCCAUCAUAAAAACUAUAAAUAACCCGUAAUCUUCAUCUAAAUGAUCUAUCUAAGUUUGCAAAUAAUGUGCCACUAUUAAAAAAAUAACUCCUAAAUUUGCAUCAAAAUUAUCUGCCUCUAUUAUUGAAAAAUACCCAACGUGCUAUUAUACGUAUGCUUCAAAAUUAUCCAAUUUAUCUUUGUUAAUAUAGAAAAACUAUGGUUUUAACUAAACAUGUCAGAAACAUAGCUCGAGUAGUGCAAAAACAAUGAACAUAUGAAAGGAAGAUAAUGUAGAGUAAUUGGUAACUAACACUAUUAGGGAAUGGAUCUUUCGUCCCGAGCCUCAGUACCAGUUGCAUUCCCACCCGGUACUAAUGUGAGCAUUAGUAACAAGCCUAACAGAUAGUCCCUGAAGAGGCCCCCAUGACCCCCUUUAGUCGGGUAGGGGCUCCACCCAGUACUAAAGGUUUCUCCCUCCGUUCGCGCGAGGACUUUUGCACCGGCGCCCUCGAAAGCCUUAAUUACCCAGCUCACCCUCCACCUCCCUUAUCCUCUUCAACCAGCUCCCUCCACCUCCCUCAGCUCCUUCUCUCCCUCCGCUCUCCACCAGCACCCUCUUCCUUCCUCCCCAGCCUCCCCUCUCCUCCCCCUUUGCUCGCCCCUCACCUCGUGCCUGACGUGAGGAGGGUAGGCGGUGAGGCGCGGCGGGGCGAGGAGCGGCGGAGGGCGAGCGGAGAGGCGGAGGCGGGGCGGCAGGCGGCGACGGCGGAGUAGGCGGAGAGGCGGAGGCGGCAGGCGGCGACAAUGGAGGAGGGCAGCAGGGGCGGCGGGAGCGGAGGAAGGCGAGCAGGCGGCGCCGCGGCGGAGAGCGAGCGGGUGGAGGAGGGCGGCGACAGGGCGAAGCAGGGCAGGCGGGCGGCGGAGCGGUGGGCAGGGCCGAGGGGAUUUUAUUAUUUUUAUUUUUUAAUACCGUUUAGUACCAGUUAUUUCAACCGGUACUAAAGGACCCCUUCUAGUAACUAAUUGUCAGUACCAGUUGGACAACCGUUAUUAGAGGGGGUUACCGACCGGUACUAAAACCACAUUCCCUAGUAGUGUAAACUCUAUCACAACCUGAUAAAGAUAUAAAAUGUAUAUAUGAGUAUUGUGUUAUAAUAUCGACAAAUGUCGGAGCAAAUACAUUGAAUUUUAAUUAGCUGUGGACGCAAAUUUAUCUAUAAUCCUUAUAAUAUUUAUAUUUCCUAAAAUUAUGUGUCCGUGCGAGAGCACGGGUUGAUGGACUAGUUAAGAUCCAAAUCGGUUUGAAAAUAUUUAUUAUUAUAUUUUACAAAUGUACCCCUAAAUUGAUCGCGAUCCAAAUCGAAGGGUGUUUUGAAAAUAAUCAUCCGUCAUGACCCAAACAGCUCCAAACAUACUGAUGUCCAACAGAAAAACAGCACCAAUUUCCAUGGAGACGCUGCAAGACUGCAAGGCCGAUCACUUGUACAGUUGUUGAGACGAUGACUGCUGGCCUAACCUCCUAGGGUCCCCUUCCAUUGUCUCCUUCGGCGUCAGCUUCUCCGACGCGACAUGGCGAGCAACGUGGACCGCACCUUGUUGCUGGUCAUGGCCAGGGGCCCGGCGACCUGGUGAUGGCGCUCGCCGACAUGCUGCAUUCCGUCCAGGUGACGAGCGUACCCGGGAGGGGCCAGUAUCUCCGUGUCAUGCGAUCACUGUCUGGGAUGCGACACGGCCUUGAUUGAUCGCCAACACCUUAUCGAUGAGACUGAGGGGUGGUUCAUUGUACCGAAAUAUUCGCUUUUACGCCGUUCUUCCGUCCCAAAAUAAAUUGGAGUUAUCAUUAUAAAAAUAUACUUUAUAAUGGAUCUAUCCGAUGAUACUAAUUUGAUGUUAUAAAUAUAGGCACUAUUUAGACUAAGAUAACUUUAUUCAGGAUAAGACUAGAAAUAAACUUAUUUUUGGGACGGAGGCGCGGCGAAGACGAGACAAGUGUAGGAAUAGUUUGCGACAUCCAACCUACUGUAAAUAAGAACUGUAAAUAAGAACAGCGGUGUUCUUAUCCGUCUUGCUUAAAUUAAUUUAAGCCUAUUGCUAUGGUAAAUGUAUGCCAGGAAAAAAAUAUAGGUGUGCCGAAUUAUUGAGAGAAAGAUCAAAAGUAAAAAAUUGCAUGACAUGUGCACUAAUUCACACCACAUUCACAUAUUGCAAUUGUGCAUAUUAUAGCCAAAAAGUAGGAGUAAUUCUUUGAGUCUACAUAAAAAGUCACUAUCACUAGUAGAGAACUCGGUAUUAGUCCCGGUUGGUAGAGUGCAAAUCUCCCGAAAAUCUAUUCGGGAUAAACUAAUCGAGACAAAAGGGGGGGCUUUUGUCCCGGGUCACUCAACCGGGACUAAAGACCCCCUUUUAUCCCGGUUGGUAAUACAUUACCAACCGGAAUAAAAAGAGUCACCACGGCGGGCGCUACAAAAAAAUCCUCCCUCCCCCCCCCCCCCACACACGCGCGUCACAAGUCACAUGAUUUUUCACGCGAAAUAUGGGCGUGCGCGCUGCGUGGGAUUCGAACCCAUGACUCCAGCCUCGCGCGUAGCUUCCUUGCCAUCCCACCUACACAUCACAUCUAACUGUAUAGGGGAUGCAAUCUUUUUGUAUUAACUCGUGGGGAUUCUUUUAUCCCGGUUGGAAACACCAACCGGGAUAAAAGGGGGGUCUUAGGGUAUUUUUUUUCCACUAACCUUUGCAACCGGGAUAAAAGGUCCCGGUUGGUGAGCCUCCCGCCAGUGAUUGAGCUUUAGUCUCGGUUGGUGAAAUUUUUGCCCCGGACCAACUUUAAAUCGGGAUAAAAGGGGGCGUAUAGAAGGUGAGUUCUCUAAUUAGUGUAUUGUGCUCCACUGCCGGAGAAAUGUGGUUAGAUUGCAAAAGCUUUUAAUCAAGCACGACAAUAUCGAUCUUGGGGCAGUGCUGGCACCUCACCCUCGGCCAACUCCUGCUGCUGUCAGAGUCGCCCCUGUGCACUCUAGAGGCUUUCUCCGUGGCCGCAACCUUGCCCCGUGCCAGGUUGCUCUCACUUGCUCUUGCUCUACGAGCCUCUCAGCUGCUUGCCUACUCCGGCUCCGCAAAUUCGAGUUGUCGAUCGGUGACGCUCCUGCUCCACGCGCUCGCGCGCCAACGUCGGCGGAUGGGUCGUUCAUUUUCUUUUUAGAGGGUACAUCGAGGGCGCCACGACCCACACACUCACACCUACCACUAAACGCGCAUGCGUGUGUACCUUGGACCUAGACCGGGAUCUCCCGACGGUAACGAGAAAAAUUAAUCCCCGGUACCAAGCGUCGAUCCUUGGGAUCGAACUCGUGCCUGGCCGCUCGCGCACCUAGCGAGCGGACCAACCGAGCAACAUUUGGUAUCCGUUCUUUUGAUUGAUUCUGAUUUGGGUCGUUCACUGGAGCCUUCUUUUCUGGGCUGCUGUUGGCCCGGCAACAUGAGGACCCAUAUUCAUGCUUCAUCUCCGCUCGCUCGUUCUCAUCUUCCAGACUCCAGCCAUGGCGAUCGAUGCCAGGCAAGGCAGAAAUUGGGUGCAGCCCGGAUGCGAAACACGCAUCCGGUGCAUACCCACUGCCCCCGCGCGACGCGUGGAAGAAAACUCCAUCCGACGGACGGCGCUAGCCCCGGCGCCCAAACACGCGUACGUCCUCGGCUCGGCUCCCUCCCAGCGCUGGCGUCCAAGCAAGACGGCUCGCUCGGAUCCCAGGAGGCCAGGAGACGGAGGAGUUUGUUGGAGUUGUUCCAAAUUCACUCCAGGAAAUAGGCCGACCUUCCCGACCCUUGAUACUCAGGGUCGGGCGAGGCGGAGGAUCUCCCGACCCCGGGACUCGGGGCCGGGCGAGGCGGAGCGUCUUCCGACCCCUGGACUUUGGGGUCGGGCGAGUCGGAGCAUCUCCCGACCCCAGGACUCGGGGUCGGGCGAGUCGGAGAUAGACCCUCAAGGGGUCAGGCGCAUCCGACCCCAAGCUGGAGGUCGGACGAGGCGAAGUCUCAGGCGCACCCGACUCCUGGACGAGGACGACUCAAGGUCGGACGAGGAGGUUUCCAUCCUCGCACGGGACCAAGAGUCCGUACCGCUCAAUACCCCCUGUUGGGGUGUCGGUACUAUAUAUACUAGCACCCUUGCUAGGGUUUUGUACCGAGAGUCAGAAGAGAAAAAAGAGAGACAGAGAGAUUCUCUUGUAAGCCGCCAUAGGCGUGUAACCCCAAACUCUUGAUAUAGUGAGAUUGUUGCCGGCUGGUGCCCGUGGUUUUUCCUCUUCACAUUGAAGGGGUUUUCCACGUAAAUCGUAUGUCUUCUUGCGGUUUGAUUCUUUACUUCAUAUUCCAUACGCCGUUCGUUCCUAACAGGACGCGCACCGGAUUGGCCGCCGCCGCGGAGGGGACGACGACUCAGCUUCCCGGUGCUCCGCGGCCGAGCUCCGUCGGCGCCGCGCUGCCCUUCCCGGCCUCCGCCAUGGUUGGGCCGACCGCCGCCGCUAGGUCCAUCUGCCGUGGCCGGAGCGAAUGCCGCCGCCGGAUUCUUGUGUAUCUGCAACCAGAUCAUUGGUCCUUCAACUGAACUGUCAUUCAUAUCAUCCCCUCAUCGCAACAGAUCAUCUCACUCUAUCAAAGCUGCAGCGUCAUAAGAGAAGUCUGCUAUCACAUUCAGAACUUCGCACACUGUUCUUUUUUAUAAAAAAAAAACGAACCGGGCAAAAGUCCGCACACUGUUCUUGAACAAGUGAAAUGCACAAUAACGAAAAAUCAGUCGUAUAUCGAUAACUACUAUUUUUACGAGUCGCUGUUUGUGCAACAUCAUAACUAGCACGAGUAAAAAAGGUUAAUGAGGAAAGGGCAGGUCAUAAAGCGUAUCUAGCUACAAGAAAGCAGGGAGCAUUCCUUAGAGCUAAAGGCCAUUCAGUUUUCAGGCUCACCUGCCUGGCGGUGCUCCCUUUCUGCCCUGCCUCUGCAUGUGGACUCAGGACAUGGGUCACAGUCAUAGUGAGCCCACUAUUAAGUGCACAUGAAAGUGAUCAGUACUUGAUGACUUUUGUGCUGCUCUUCUUUCACUUGAAAAUGGCCUGGGAGCAUAAUAAUCAUGCGUGCAUCCUCCAUGAUAUCCCUACCAAAUCAUCAUCCUACCUUUUUUUUUGGUUGCCGCCUUUUGUAUAUAUGGUUAGUGUAAUAAUUUCCCAACCAAUCAUCACCUUGUGCACUUACUUCUUGUAGGGCUUGAAAAUAGGAUAGGCAUUCUUCAACCACUGAGGCGAAAUAACCACUAAACUUCAGCACACAACUGGAACAGUUUGGUCUCACAGCAACUAAACUUCUCAUCGGCUCUGAAGGUUGGCAUUUCCUUCCAAGACUAGAUCACUUAAACUUAAGGCUAAGUGAACAAACAGAUUAAAUUCCCUUGUUUGUUUCACACAGAUUAGUUAAACUGAACUAAAUCUUGCCAAAUCUUGCUGACAACAGCAUUUCUGGUGAGAGGAUAUAUGGUAUGGCCUCAUCUCUUCCUUUUAGUCCUCGGAAGUGAUUGAGCAGUAGCUGAUGUGAGCUUCUCAAGGUGUUUGUUGUUUAGCUAGCUAGGGACUAUAUGCAUGGGUCUUUUGAUUGCUACGCACAUAAACUGCAUGACGAGGUUCUGCACAACAUCACGGUUUCUGAAUGUGCCUUUUUCUCCUAGAUCCUAAGGAAACUAGUGCUUAGAACACUUGAACUGCAUUCAUGCGUGUCAAAAUGUAAAAUUUCUGAUGGAAGCUUCUUUUCUUCUGCAUUGGCAAGCCAAAAUUAACAUAAAAAUGUUGAAUUAUUCUGAAAAUCUGAACACAAAUGGCAGCAAAUUAUUCUAAAAAAGAACAGCAUAUUAAAUUAGAAAGAGAAAUGGUGCUUACUUUCCGAAUUGAUUGGUGACUCUAGUGCUUUAACAAGAGAUUUACAUGGAAAAAAAUUGGAUGGACCCUGGGCUCAUUGCGUCCACCAUGAGCUCCCUCCCUGGAUGAAGGACGCGUGGAGACGCGCUGCAUCAGACGGUCCUGGAAUCGAGCGUGGCCGUCCGUGGAGUUAGCGGCUCGUUCAGCAUCGAGGACGUCCCGGCUUGGCUUCUCUUUCCGUCGGCUUGGCUUCUCUUUCCAUCGGGGAAGAGUCCACGUUUGUCCACAUCGCGACUCUCUCCUACGAUGCCGCCGCCGCCUCGCGUGCGACCUGCGUCGCCGUCCGACCUGGCCGUGCCUCUUCCCCGAGCGCCAUGGCCGCCAUCUGGAUCUAGCCACGCCCGGUGUUGGCUACGCCGUGGCCGCGCCUCUUCCCCGAGCACCCUUGCUGUGUACCGGCAGCCGUGCCCGGCGCCGCCUAUGCCGUCGAUUCGCCCGCUGCCUAUGCCGUCGAUUCGCCGCCGCCUGGACCUUAUACCCGGGUGCCCUCCGCGACAGUCUGCUGGCCUACGUCGUCGCCGUCCGAUGCCGUGCUUUUGCCAGGUACGUGGCAUUGGGAAUUUAGUCUGAAUGUAGAUCUGAAUUUUUUCCAGAACUGAAGAAAAAUUGGGUCUGAAAUUUGUCUUUGAUUCAUGUUUUGCAGUAACUAGAAGAUGAGAUGCCGUACUCCUUUGAAUAUACGAUUUGUAGCAACUCUGAAUGUGCUGCAGUAUGACUGUUAUUAGUUUUUUGCUGGAACAAUAUGAUGAUGUGUAAUGUCCCUGUUUGAUCCGGAUUUCCCAAAUGAUUUUUCCAUGAAUCAUGACUGUUUUACAGAAUUACAGUGAAGGGAAAAUACAGUGAAGGCGUGAAGCAUGGCUCCCUUCAAAAAUGCUGCAGUAUGGCUGCCCAGCAUCACUACAAGAUGUUUCUGGCCUUCUGGGGGAGCAUCAGUAGACUACAUGGGUUUAUGGCUUAUUUCGGCAAGAAGCAAGGCAUCCGGAAGAUAGGAUGGUGAACAAGAUUUUUUGAUAGGAAAGAGUUGAAUCCGUGUAAACAAUUGUAUCAGUUUAGAGUUGAUCUUUUUUUUGAGACAAUAGCAGUUUGACAGGAACUAUGAACAAUUUGGUGCCUUUCAUUUAUGCUGUUGAAGGAUGUAUCAGUAAAGAGUUCAUUGAUACUUGUAAAAUGUGAUUUUUAUCUGAAAUAUAUUUGGAUGUUUUGAAAUCAGCAGUGGAAUGGAUGUCUUAAGAAUCUCAUUGUUUCUCUGAAUGCAUUGUUCUAAAAAGCUCCUAUUCAGAGCAAAAGAGACUUUCUAACAGCAAAGCAACAAAGUUACAUAGAUUUAAAGGAGACCAAAAGAGACUUUCUAACAGCAAAGCAACAAUGUUACAUAGAUUCAUUUUUCUUCCACUCCAUCAAAAUGUAACUUUCUGACAGCAGUUUGCAGUGUAGCAUCUUGAUCAACUCCCAUUAAGAGAUUUGUGUAUCCUCCUGAUAUGUAUGGAGCAACCAUUGUAGAAGGAUCAACAAGUAAAUUGAAUUGUGGCAUUGUGGAGAUAGCGUAUCCAGCUUGCACAAAAGGAGCAUCCAUGGCUGAAGAUGGCCCAACAUUAAAAUCCUGUCAUAGAAUAAGAAAGAGUUCAAAAAUCAUGUUUGUAAGGGAAAUUUUUGGAAAAUAGGUAAAUGUCUUACAGUUAAUUGGUUUGUUUCAGCAUGUUCAUCUCUUGUUUGGACAUCAUCAUUUCCCUGAUCUUCACCUACAAUGAAUAUAUAUAUAUGAUAAUACAAUAUUUAAAACAUUAUAGACAUAAGCAAAAGGUAGUGGCCAGGUGAGUACCUUUUUUCUGACCACCCUUCUUCUUCUUUUUUCCUGACUUCUUUUCAACAACAUUUUUGAAACGUGUAUUCUUUGGUCCUUUUAUUACUUCAGGAAUUCUAAAUGAUAUCACACCAUUUAUUGGUUGCUGGACACUUUCAUUUGGAAUUGGAGGAACCUCGUUGGAUUUUUCAUGCAUCUCACUUAGAUAAGUAUCCGCUUCCAGGUUCAAGUUAUGUAUGGCUUUCUGCAAUUUAUCAAGCAGUUCUUGUGAUGGCGAACACUUCAGUGCAAGAGAUGUGGCCUGUCGAGAUAUAAGUGCUGCCUGUGUCUUCAAAUCUCCUUUCUCAGUUCUUUUUUUCUCAAUAUAAAAUCCAGUUUUCGCGUAUUUUGUCCAUCUAGGCAAUAUAUAUUGCGAUGGCAAAUUGUAUACUCUAUUUGUAUUGAAGACUCUGAGAGCAUGCUUGCACAAUAGACCUGUAAGAUAUAGUUGCCAAUUACUACAUAUAUUACAUACAGCUUACAGUGUAUAAAUCUAAAUGUAAAUAGUACACAUACCUAUGGAUUCAAACAUCCGACAAGAGCAUGUAAUGGUGGAAUCUUCAGUGUUCAAUACUACCGUUGCUCCAUGGUCAGACUCCAUAUAUUUAACAAAGAAUGUCAAGUUUGUCCUCACAGCUUCCAACAAAUCACAAGUCAAUGUAAAUUGUCUCUUAAAUUCUUCCUCAAACUCCGAAUACAUUCGCCUUGUAUAUGAUUCAGCUGCAGUAUUCAACAUUGGUAGACUUGGAAUAUAUGGAAUCGGAUUCUUUCGGCGUGACUGAAAAUCAGCUUCCAACUCAUUUGCUUGGAGACUAACUGCAACCUUCUCACAUUCUACAAGGAGUUCCGAAAGACCAAGUCUCCUACGAAAUUGUUUCUUGAAAACAUUAUUCAUACCUUCACUCCUCUGGGUUGAGUUCAUGUCUGCUGUAAAAGAGUCACGAUAUAUUGCAGCCCAUUUUGUCCUCAAAGCAUAUAGGUUUGCCAUCCAAGAGUUAUUCUCAAGAUUGUAUUUAGCCAAUAGUUCUUGCCAUUUCUCUAAGAAAUAAGUCUCUGACCUGUUUUCGUAAACACAAUUUUUAAAAUCUGUUAGUAACUUGUUACCUUUCUUAUCCGCCUCAUGAAUUUCAUGACUAAGAUGUUUAGCGGCAUUUAAGCAAAUGUGCCACAAACAAAGACGGUGGCUUGUAUUUGGAAAUACAUAAGCAAUUGCUCCUGCCAUAGCCACGUCUUGAUCUGUAAAAAUUGUGCUGGGGUGCUGUCCUGACAUUGCUGUUAGAAAGGUUUCAAAGAGCCAAACAAAUGAUUCAAUAGUUUCAUUAAAGAGAAGUGCACACCCAAAAAUUAUUGUUUGCUUGUGAUGGUUGCAGCCAAGAAUCGGAGCAAAAGGCAUUUCAAACUUAUUAGUUUUAAAUGUGGUGUCAAAUGACACAGCAUCGCCAAAGCAUUUGUAAUCCAUGAUAGACUGACCAUCUGCCCAAAAGAAAUUUGCUAUGCGACCAUCUUCCUUGUCUACCUGAAAUGCAUAAAAAAAUGUAGGAUCCUCUAACUGUUUAUUUCUCAGAUAUUCAGAUAGUGUUUGUGCAUCAUUGGCUUCUAAGUACUGCCUGCGCUCGCGACCAAUCUCAUUAUCACAAUCCAUCUUAGCAAAUGGUAUGUUCUCUUCUCCUCCAUAAAACUACUUCAUGAACUCAUAAACUUGGGCUGGCUUCAUUCCAGCUUCUCGUAUCUGCCCAAUUAAUUUUCUAUCUGCCUCUAUAACCUGUCUUUGGGACCUCAACUUGUGUGCCUUAUUUGGGCUAGCAAGAUAGUGAUUGUGCUGUUCUAUGACCUUUUGUACCUUCCAAAUCCCCUCUUUGCUGAUACUAAACUGGACACGAGCAUCACAACCUGUCCUUGUUAUGUCCUUUUGCGAUGCCUCAUUUUCUCGAUGUCCUUGAUUACUGCAAACUAUAAAUUUCUGACAUAGACUUCCAUCUCGGCGGUGCUUUGUCUUGCUCUUUCUAAUACUAAACCCAACCUUGCCGGCAUAGGUGUUGUACAUCUCAUAAGCUUGAUCCUCAAAUUCAAAUGUCAUUCCAACUGUAGGAGUGAUGAAAUUUUGCCCACCUUUACGAACCACCUCCUGUACAUAUGAAUUUUCAAUUAAAGGCGUGCCAAAAAUAAAACAAAAUGUCACAUAUUCUGUAAGUUUGUUAAAUAUUUUUUUACCUCAUCAGGUACUUCAUUCUCUAUGGAUCCAGACGUCUGUAAAAUGGUGCCGAUGUUCUCUACUCCCCUGGUAACCAUGUUGUUCUGUCAAAUAUGGGCAAUAUAUCUCAGAUACCAAACAACAUAGAAGAAAAAACAUUUGUCAAAAAAAAAUGCAGAACGAUCUAAGCAGAUAACUAACCUGUGUUAUCUGUUCGUCUUCUCGACCACCAUCACCAACGGCAUCAAAUUCUAGUGCACGUGAAUCCUCCAAGAGAGAAGAAAAUGUCAUCCGAUCAACAGUUAUCAUUCCAUCUUCUUGGCCUCUAAUGUCUUCCAUGCAGGCCACUGGUUCAUCCAUGGAAGCAACAAUGGAGGAGUGCAAUUGGGCUGGUUCAUCCAUGGAAGCAGUAGUGGAGGCGUGCAAUUGGUCUAGGGCUACUGGCGGCGGCAAACUUAGGGAAGAUGAAACGAACGAGUUUGACGGUCUGACUCUCCGAUGGAAAGAGAAGCCAAGCCGACGGAAAGAGAAGCCAAGCCGGAACGUCCUCGAUGCUGAACGAGCCGCUAACUCCACGGACGGCCACGCUCGAUUCCAGGACCGUGUGAUGCAGCGCGUCUCCACGCGUCCUUCAUCCAGGGAGGGAGCUCAUGGUGGACGCAAUGAGCCCAGGGUCCAUCCAAUUUUUUUCCAUUUAUGGAUAAUUUUGGAUAGGUUUUUCUUACUAGGCAUGACGCCAAGGACGGCAAGAUCAGAAGUUCCUAAGCUCGGGAUAGAUUAACAAAGUAGAUAGAGCUGUUGAUGAAGUAAAAAUACUCAAAGGAACAAGAGACAGACUAACCCCACCCAAAACAGUUCAGCUGUACCGCGUUGCAAUGUCCAGUUUAGUGGUGUCCAAAAUAUUUAAAGGUUUCAUUCAAAAAUAGAGCAAAAAAAACUUUCACUGUGACGAAGGCCUGCGUAAGCCUGCCUAUGAUUCAUGUUAAUCUAAUUUACAAAGAUGAGAUCAUAGAAUGUGCCAAAAACUUUUGGUAAUCAAAUUGUGCAUACACCAAUGCUGAUCCCUAUUGGGUCCAUUAAACCAGACUUAGUCAACUUUGUGGCUAAAACAAUACAAUACAAUAUAUAUCAAAUCUCAUCUGCAGAGUGUAGACGAUCACCGGUAUUGAAUCCUGAAAGAUAUAAACUGAACUAUGGAUAGAAUAUAUUUGAAGGACACGGAUGGAAAGAGACAUACAACAUUCACCACAAGUUCGUCUCACAAAGAAAAAUGAUUAAAUCUGAAAAAAAAUAGAGAAGUUACAUUGAUUUUUUUUGUUUGUCAAUGUGAUUGGGAAAAUUAGACUGUGCAAAAGCUUGUUGAGGACAUUUGUGUUUUUAAAUCAACUAAUUGAUUUAGCGUAUCCAUCAUUCCAUCAAAUAAUAAUUAAGCACGUCAUCAAGCCAGUUGCUCAUAUUAAAUCAUCGUGCCUUUGGCUUAUCCAUUCCGAUCAGAUCAUGCAGUCAGAUGAAAACGAAAUGGCAUGGGAGGUGGUGUUCUAGAGAGCAAUAAUUUGGCUUCUUGCUUGGGACAUCUUCCUGUUGGGAAACGGGUACGCUAACUAUAACAAUUAUGUCUCCCGCGUUUGAUCUAGGAAACUGAGUAGAGGGGGUCAUGGAUCGUUAUCACUAGAAGCGCAGUGUAAGAAGAAUUGGAGCAGCCGAUCCAACGUAGAUGCCCAUCAGUGUAGAAGAAGUACUUGAUUAAGAUUGCCUCGUCCUCAUCCUCGUCCUCGUCCCAGCAGCAACCUCGCACUGCCGUAGCCGAUCAGCACAGCAGCAGCACCUCCACGGAGUCCAAACGUAUGGGAGAGAAACGUCAUGCGCCGGUGUGCUAGCACCGCGCGCCCGGCCAGGGUCUCGGGAUCAGGCUGAGAGGAGGUGGCGGCUAGAGCUGUGGUGUAGUGGAAUGGUGCGCCCCUACCCCACCCCUCAUAUUUAUAGAGUACACUAAUGGGCUGGUAAGCUGUAAGCCCAUUAGUGCCAUAAUCCCUCACGAUCAAUUAUGUCGUGGAUCGUUAUGAUUGUCUCUUAGGUACAUCACCAACACUUUCAUGCGACCGUACCGAGAGCAGAGGUUCUUGAGUCUGUACUAAGAUAGAGAAAUGGGUGCCAUAAAUUACUCUAAUUUCGAAGUAGGCUAAUUUUAGACGCGAAUAUUACUUCAUCCGCCAAAUUUCUAUGGUAAUAUGUUGUUUCAAAUCACAAAAGUUAUAUACUAUGAAUGGAUUUUUUCAUCAUGCAUAGGAUCUCUCUCUCAACCACAACAACCACGCGAUGACACCAUCCUCUCCGCGAUCGCGCCUUGCCACAAGCCUUACCGUGCUUGCUCCACCCGAGUUCGCCGGUCUUGCCGCAGCAGCCGCGACCUUGCACCCCUCCUGUGCACGAGCCGUGUUGCACCAUGGGCAUGCAUCACCGACACCCUUUGCUCGCCAUGUCGUGAUGCCGCCCCUUGCAUCGCCCGAUCGCACCACCUCCACCACGGUGCUCCCGGCCGCACUCCGAUCGACCUGGCCACUGGCCAAGUCUGGCUUUUGCCGGUCUAGACCGCGAGCCAAAGCUGACACCCCAACCCGACAUCGUCUUCACCGGCCACUAUGUUGGCCCAACCACCACGUCUAGCCAAUCCUCACCAACUGCAGCCCAUCAGACGGGCUACUGGUCGAAUCGCAGACCACCGCCGUGCUCCACCUUGCACCACACUGAGCAACUUCCCAACGCCCGUGAGGCAUAAACCUCGCGUCUCCACCUUUCCCCGUGCCUCCUCAUGAUCCAAAACCAACCGUACAACCCUUAUACCAAUUGUUGUGAUAUCGGCACACAAGCGGAAGGGCCGGCCCUGGCGGGCGGCGGGGGGCGGCCGCCCUGGGCCCCAAAUCCCAGGGGGCCACCCUAGGUUCAAGUGUCAAAUGAGUUAGGAAUUAGGAUUAGGACCGGAAUAGCAACGAACGCUGAACGCAGUCACGCAACUCGUACACGUCGUGUAGGGGGUCGCUGCUAGGCAAAACUCAUAUGCGUCGUCUUAGGGGGCUGCUGCGGGGGCCAGCGCCAAAACAUGUACGCGUCGUCCAGGGAGUCGCCAGGGGAUCGCCGCCAGCAAGGGCCGCCGCCAGGGAUCAUAAGGAUUAUCCAAAUCGCAAUUAAAACUCCGAUCGCCGGCAGGGCCACCGCUGCGUCGCGCGCAUCAACGACUGGUUGUUGGACUGCGUCUGCACCAUCAUCCAGGUACGGUACUCAUCGCUGUAUACACGCGCGUGCACAACCCGGCAGCUCGGCGAUUGCUGUUCUUGACCACUCUGCGGCGACCAAUCGGCUUGUUGCUUGCGGACCUUACGGUUGGUGCCAAUUCGCUUUUUGUGACCAGGUGAUUCGAUUGCUAAUUCCUCAAUUCUCCGUACCAUUAAUUAUUAAUUUAUUAUCACAAGUUAUUUAAUCUCAACUAAUUUAUAACUAUUGUGUAUUUAUAAUAAUUUUAGUACUGUAACAUUUGAUAGGUAUAAAUAUCAAGAAAUGUUAGAAGAAACUUUUAAGGUAAUAUGUAUAAAUAAUUUGAUAUGAAUAUUGCUUUUAGAUACAUUUAAAUAUUUAUUGGUAACAUUUUAUAUAUACUUGUUAUAAUGUUUAUAUUAAAGGCUCCAAGUUUUACUUUCGCCCCGGGCCUCCCAAAUCUCAGGAUCGGCCUUGAGCGGAAGCAAUUUGGUUUCAGAUCGAUGGAGGCGGGGAACUUGAGAGAGCAACGACCACACAGGAGGCACGAGAUUUGGUAACGGAGUUCGGCCGAAAUCUACAUCUCCGGGGCAUGCUUAUGGGCGCUCCUCCCUGACCACAGCGACACCAGCCAUCCCGGGCACCAACCAAGCCGGACGGCACCCCCUACGACCCGACCCUGUCUCUCAGUGCUUCUCUUUCUUGUGGUGGUUUGGUUACAAUGGUGGUCCUCUCCUUUUAUAGAGAAGCCGGUACACAUCUACCACUAAACUCUACCCUCUACUAUACCACUAGUUACAACAUCAAGUCCAUGUAACCCCUUUAGUGUAAAUAAAUAUUCGACACAUUUACAACACAAACCAUCCUGUAAGUGUUGCUUCUAGCACCUGGGAAAUAAACACAAGAAUACCUUAUCUAUCUGUGACAUUUGUUACAGAUUUCAUUUCAGCAGCAGAAUCUUUUGCUCUAGGUUUAAUUAGAAGUAACUUAAACAGUAGACUGCUUGGCCCAUUUAUUGGUAAGUGAUAAUUCAGAAGAUUAAACCUAUGCCAUCCUCACUCCCUUAAUCAAUUUUAGGCGUUUAUGUUUUAACUUGCAGCGAAUUCUAACAAUGACAAAUAUGCAGCAUAUUGUUAGUUUAUCUGUAAGACUUGGCUUGCUAGUUUAAUGCUUUUCAAGGUUUGAAGUUAUUAAUGUGCCUACUGGUAGCUAUUGAAUUUCUUUGUAUACUUUUUGUUCUGUCUUAGUGUUAAGCCAUGAGAAAGUUUUCAGAAUACUGAUUUUUUUUCUAAUGCUCAUUUUGUGGAGUCUCUCCAUCUACAACCUUUUAUUGAUACUGCGUUUCAGAUCCUUAAGUUAUAGCAUGGAUAAAUCCAUGUUUCUUUUUCUUAAAAAAUCAUGGGUAUGGGUAGAGAUUCUUGCCCGUAGUUAAUCCUGGGUAUGACACAAAUAUAGGAGCUAUUAAUGUGUGGAUUUGUCCUGGAUCUAUUCUUGUGAGAGUAUGGUCAGUUUUCCAAUGAUCUUAUGAGAGCAUGCUUGUACAGAAAGUGAGCUUGGUGUUUAAGAAUUCUUAAAUUAUUUGUGCUCAUUGUUUAUAUUUCUUUCUGUUCAAAUCAAAGAAAAUGGUCUCACACCCGACUACAUUAAUGUGUGUCAGUACGCAGCGGUUAAGCGGGUGCUCCAGCUGGAAGCGGCCCACUUCAUUAAUGUCCGUCAGGGAGCCACGUGCAAAGCUGGGUGCCACAAAUACAUGUUGAAUAAUUGUAUGGUAGCUACAAAUUCAUACCACGUGCAAAGCUGGGUGCCACAAAUUAUUGUCUGCCUUCACUCAAUCCAUACCAAGCACCUUUGUUUCCCUGCGUUGUGUUGUGAGCUCCAGGCGUUGCCAUGGCUGAGGUACUGGCCACCAUGGUGGUCGGGCCACUGCUGUCCAUGGUGAAGGAGAAGGCCUCCAGCUACCUCCUGGACCAGUACCAGGUGAUGGAGGGCAUGGAGGAGCAGCACAAGCUCCUGAAGCGCAAGCUGCCGGCCAUCCUCGAUGUCAUCGCCGAUGCCGAGCAGCAGGCGGCGAAACAGAGAGAAGGGGCCAAAGCUUGGCUGGAGGAGGUCCGGACGGUGGCCUACAAGGCGAAUGAUGUCCUCGACGAGUUCAAGUACGAGGCGCUUCGCCGCAAAGCCAAGGCGGAGGGUCACUACAAGGCGCUCGGCAUGGAUGUAAUAAAGCUCUUCCCAUCUCACAACCGUUUUGUGUUCCGUUAUAAGAUGGCAAAAAGGCUCUGCAUGAUCUUGCAAGAAAUUGAUGUCCUCAUCGUAGAGAUGAAUACAUUCAGGUUCGAAUUCAAACAGCAGCCGCAAAUGCCCAUGCAAUGGAGGCAGACGGAUGCUUGCAUCCCCACUGAGUCUGUGGACAUUGCCAGCGAAUCAAGAGCUCAAGAGACGAAGGAUCUUGUUCAUCAAUUGCUCAAGAGCAGUAAGGAUCGAUUGCUUGCUGGAGCCAGUAGUAAGGAUCUCAUGGUCCUUCCGAUAGUCGGAAUGGGGGGGUUGGGCAAGACCACCUUAGCACAGCUCGUUUACAAUGACACUGAAAUUAAGAAGCAUUUCGAGUUGCGGCUCUGGGUGUGUGUCUCUGAUGAUUUUGAUGUCGAUUCCCUGGCUAACAGAAUAGUGAAAGAGAAUGGUUGUGAAGCAAGUGGAAGUUCAUCAGCACUGGACAAUCUUCAAAAGGUAGUGAGUGGGAAGAGGUACCUCCUCGUAUUGGAUGAUGUGUGGAACCGUGAUGAGCCCAGCAAGUGGGAAAGGCUGAAGUCCUACCUUCAGCAUGGUGGCAGCGGUAGCUCAGUGCUGACAACAACUCGCGAUGAAGCUGUUGCUAAACUAAUGAUGGGUACAACUGAAGGAGCCUAUAAACUUGGAAGCUUGGAUGAAGAGUCCUUAGGGAAAAUUAUCAAGGCAAGAGCAUUAUUCGGUUCAAAACAGCCUGGUGAACUAGUUAACAUGGUUGGUGAAGUUGCCAAGAGAUGUGCUGGUUCUCCUUUAGCUGCUACAGCAUUGGGCUCUUUACUGGGUACCAAGACCAGCAAGCAAGAAUGGGAGGAUGUAAUAAAUGGAAGCACGAUUUGUGAUGAGGAAAAUGGGAUUUUACCAGUACUUAAACUAAGUUACAAUUGCUUGCCAUCAUACAUACGGCAAUGCUUUGCUUUCUGUGCUAUGUUUCCCAAGGAUUAUGAGAUUGACGUGCAAAUGCUAAUCCACUUGUGGAUGGCCAAUGGUUUUAUCCCAGAGCAAUCAAAAGUGUGUCCUGAAACUUUUGGAGAAAGAAUUUUCAUUGAGCUGAAGUCAAGGUCAUUUUUUCAGGAUUUGAAGAAUGUCCCAUUUGAUGAAAAAUAUUUUAGUUAUGCAAAGGGUAAAAAGGACAUGUAUUGUUCUAGAAUUACUUGUAAGAUCCAUGACCUUAUGCAUGAUGUUGCACAGUCUGCUAUGGGAGAAGAAUGUGCUGCAAUAGCUACACACCCAAGCGAAAGAGAGGAUGUUCUUCGUUCAGUCCGUCACUUGUAUUUGUUAAUCUAUCGACGAGAAACUCUUCUGAAUGCUGAGAAAGGAUCUCCAGCUUUCCAAACACUGAUUUGUGACGGAUAUGAAGGAGAUUUGAAGAUUUUAUCAAAAUACAACUCUAUAAGAGCUUUAAAGAAUAAUAUCUAUUGUGGUUCAAUCCUAAGGCCGAAAUAUCUUCAUCACCUGAGGUAUCUUGAUCUCUCAGGAAGUUUUUUUGUAGCACUUCCUGAAGACAUCAGCAUCCUAUAUCAUCUGCAAACACUGAACCUUUCUUACUGUCAUCGUCUUGAACGACUUCCAAAGCAACUGAAGUAUUUGACUGCCCUCCGUCACCUCAACACUCACAGAUGUGAGCAGUUGAAAAGCAUGCCUGCAGAGCUCGGACGCCUAACUUCCCUACAGACGCUUACAGACUUUGUAGCAGGUGCCGACGACUCCGGUUGCAGUAAUUUGGGAGAGCUGCAGAAUUUGGACCUUGGUGGUACACUGGAGCUAAGCAAGCUAGAAAAUGUGACAGGAGCAGAUGCACAAGCAGCAGGUCUUGGAAACAAGAAAAAACUGACCGAACUGGUGUUAUAUUGGACCGAUAGUAACCAGGAAGCACAGAAUAAUAAUCAUAAAGAGGUGGUGGAAGGUCUCAAACCUCAUGAUGGGUUGAAGGCUCUGAGGAUAAAUCAAUGUGGGAGCAGAACUUUUCCAACUUGGAUGAAUACUUUGAAAGGCAUGGUGGAGCUCAAAUUAUUCGUUUGCAAAAAGCUCGAAGAGCUUCCUGCACUCUGGGAGCUACCAGCUCUGCAAAUUCUUCACCUGGAGGGUCUGGAGAGUUUACAUUGUUUGUGCAGCGGUGGUACUACACCCGUCACAUUUCCAAAACUGAAGGUGCUUACCUUGUUAAAAAUGGCAAAAUUUGAGGCAUGGUGGGAGACACAUGAGGUACAAGGAGAAGAGCCCAUAUUUCCCAAGGUCGAGGAGCUGGAGAUUAAGGAGUGUAACAGUUUGACUGCAUUACCAAAAGCAACGUCGGUGAUUACAGAAUUGUCUGGCAGAGUUGACACUAAGUGCCGCUCUGCAUUUCCAGCAUUGAGGAAAAUGAUCCUAUUUGAGUUGACUAUGUUUGAAAGAUGGGAGGCAGGCGAAGGAAUUUCAGGCGAAGAGGUAACCUUUCCUCAGCUCGAGGAGCUGUCAAUCAUGUAUUGUCAAAGCCUGAGUGCACUACCAAAUGGAGCUGAAACUGUGUGGUGCCGCUCUGCAUUUCCAGCACUGAGGAAACUAGAAUUAUCUAGUUUGUCGGCCCUUGAGAGGUGGGGGGCAGCUGAAGGAACUCCAGGAGAAGAGGUAACCUUUCCUCAGCUCGAGGAGCUGACAAUCGGGUCUUGUCGCAGCCUGAGUGCACUACCAAAAGGGCCAUUAUUGGCUAAGCAACCAUUUGGCAGAGCUGGAACUGUGUGCUGCCGCUCUGCAUUUCCAGCACUGAGAAAACUAAAAUUAUUUUUUUUGUCAGCUCUUGAGAGGUGGGGGGCAGCCGAAGGAACUCCAGGAGAAGAGGUCACAUUUCCUCUGCUGGAGAACUUGAGUAUCGAUGAUUGCCCGAAGUUGACUGAUCUACCUGAAGCACCGAAGCUAAGUGAAUUAUCCAUAAGAACAUAUGGUGAUCAGCAAAUAUCGCUAGAGGCAGCUAGCAGAUGCAUCCCUUCAUUGUCCCGUCUGCAUCUGGAUGUGUCGCCCGAUGACACAGAAACAACAUUGCUGCAUGUCAAGAAGAAAUUGAAUGGUACACUCGCCCUACCAGCUAUGAGGUUAGGUUGCUGCGACGUUUUUUUCUCCUCCCGCUCAAGCGCACUGGCGCUAUGGACAUGUUUUGCACAGCUAGUAGAUUUGAAGAUUUGGUGUUGCGAUGCUCUUGUCUACUGGCCAGAAAACGUGUUCCAGGUCCUAGUAUGCCUGAGGAACUUACAUAUUUCCACAUGUAGCAAACUGACAGGACGCACACAAGCUUCUGAUGAGCAAUCUGCUCCAGCUCCAGAACGUGGUGGACUCCUGCCAUGCCUGGAGUCUCUAAGGAUAGAUUAUUGUCCAUCUUUGGUAGAGGUCCCCAUCCUGCCGGCAUCUCUUAAGACAUUACAUAUUGAAGGCUGUGAUGAAAUCGAGUCCAUCGUAUUCUGUCACCCGGAGGAUACGAGAUUGGUGAGUGGAGAAGGUGUUGUACGGCCGGAUACGUCAUCAUUAAUUCCAGGGUCUACAGCUGUACUGAAGCUGUCAUCUGGAGCCAACCAUCGUUUCCUUCCAUUUCCAUGCCUAGAAUAUCUACUUAUAUGGUAUUGCAGUGGCUUGUCAGAGGUUGCCAAUCUUCCUCCGUCUAUCAAGACCUUGGACAUUUAUUCCUGUAACAAUCUUCAAUCCCUAUCAGGAGACCUCCCGUUGCUGGAAAAACUCGACCUUUUUAGAUGCGAAAGACUGGUAUCCUUACCGGAUGGGCCUCAAGCAUACUCAUCUCUUAGAGUUCUUCGGAUAAUGAAUUGUGAUGGUAUAAAGUUGCUUCCGCCAAACCUUCAGAGCCGUUUGGGUUACCUUGAGAAGAAAGAUCUAGAUGCCCGUUACGAAGGUAAUCUCCAGUUUCUUUGUUUCUUUUAACAAAAUGAUCAGGAGCUCAAUUGCUGUUGCCUAAAAUGCAACUCUGUGCUUAAACAUUCUGUUAGUCAACUGUUGUUGAUAUAUACAUUAUAUCGAGUAUAAUGCACCACUAAUACCUAUAUUUAUGUGCACUUGUGUCACUUAAAUCCAUUAACUUUCAUAUAUUGCACAUUCGAGGUAUCUAAACACUUACAGCUGGAUCAAGAAGUUUAUGCACCAAUAUACACUUCACUUUACUCUAGUCAUCCUUGUAUAUCUCCUUGUUGUCCGUACAAAGAAUUUAACUAUAAGAUGAUCUUUGUGGUUCACUUUUGAUACCUUGGUUGUAAACUUGUAAUUGCUGACUCGAAUCAUGUAAUAAAAUCAAUCAUCUUCCUUUAGUUGUAUUUAAAGCAGCAUGGCAUCAUGGAAUUAUUGCAGCCGAAUUCACUAGCUCCAAUUAAAGUGGCACUGGUCCUAGUGUUUCUCUGGACAUUCACUAGCUCCAUUGUAUACAGUUCAAGUAUGUGUAGUUUUCUUUUCAUGGCUUAUGCCUUUUGACAUAAAUAAUAAUUUUCCUUUGAAACAUUUACUAUUGGGUGCCACAGCAUAUUCUCCUGUGUAUAUAUACUUUCUAACUUUGUGUUGACUUGCAUGCAUAAAUUCUAACAUCAUGUAUGAUCAUGGCCUGAUUGCCAGAACCAACCUGGAAACGUUCGAUCAGGAAGCUGGUGUGCUUGAAAUAGUAGAUCAAGACCUGACCAAAGAAAGUUAUUUCCAAGGUAUUUUUGCAAAAACGUCACCAAGGUUUGUAAUAUUAGUGUUCUUGAUGAUUGAUUUGAAAUGAUGCUAGCUCCUAAUGCUGACUUCCUAUGCGUUGUGACUUCCUUGUAGGAUCGUGCUAGAUCUGCAAAAGAUGGAUUAUUGUGACUCUUGUUUAGAAUGUAUCAUAUGCGCAUUCUCUCCAGUAAAGUUAAGGCAAAGUCCUAGAUUUUGAGCAGAAAACAAGUCCUAGAUUGCAAGCUGAAGAAUUUAGCACACAGAGCUGCAUGCUCCAGUCUUUUAUCCUUAUUUUUUUCUUUUGAACUAUGACGUGUUUGCAUUCGUGUCUGCUUCAGCCUCCAGCACAAGCGAAACACGGGCAGCACUUCCAUUUUAUGAUUUGUUUAUCCACAUACAUGUCCGAUUGACCGCAGAGGAUACUUUGCCAUAGAGUAGACCAACAGUCCAACGUACUCAUGUUGUUGCUCGACAAGCUGUCCAAGCUGCUGCUUGAUAUGAACUGAAAGUGCUGAGUUUUCUCCCGUGUAUGUUCUGUGUAUCAAAUACUGAAUGGUGUGCAGGGUGAUCCUCCAUCCUGGAAUGGCACGGUCUUGUGCAGAGGUCUCAUUGUUGUUGACCUGUUUCUUCAAAACUGCAUGUGCAGCAACAUUUUCUCCUGGCAGUGCUGCAAUGGAAUUGAAAAGAAUGGUGAUUGUUAUAGUAUAAUUGUCAUAUAUAGUCUGGGACACAAAACAAUGGAGGUACAUGAGCAAGGAAGAAGCUCUGGAGGCAGGGGAUGGAACAGAACAGAGACACGGACUCUGUCUUCUUCCGAAUGCAGCUCCUCUGUAUUGGCGAUGAAGGACCCUACAAGUUGGUUCUCAUAGACAGAAUUGAGAGCUACGGAUGUCCGCUCCCAAGAACGAACUGCCAGAGCAAGAAGAUGAACGUAAUCUGUAUAGAUAAAAAAAUUUAACAGAAGUUUUCAUGAGUUAUCCUUUGUCUGGGGCCAUAGUACAAACCCUGCAUUUCGAAUUUGGGACUGCCCUCCUGUAUGGUGUGACCUAAAUUUUAACAAAAAUUAUCCUAGUGUGGUGUGGCUACGGUUGUUUCAUACGACUAGUGGUGGUACCCGUGCGACCCGCACUGGUUUAAAAAUAUAUAAUAAAAACAAACUUAUUAUUCAUGAUAUUAAAUACGUAUAAUAUACAAAUAAAUCUAAUAUAUAAAAGAUGUCCCAAACAAACUACCAGCAUCUUUGGAUCACACGGGUCUACCAUCAAGAAAUAAUUCUUAAGAAAUGAACUCUUUUGUAUAGUAAGUCAUUUUUCUAAUGAUACUGGCAGUAGUUAAAGCAGGAAUGUAGGAUAACUAGGUAAAGAAGUUUGUGUGAUUGUGUCUACCAUCCUAAGCUGGCAUUCAUGUCUACCAUAGUAUGACAACCCAUCUUGUCGAGUGGAGACAAUUUCGUGUAAAAAAAAGGAGUUCAGAUGAAUUUGUGUCAAUUAACGCUUUCCAGUACUACACAUCUUCCCCCAAUCACCUAGAAUUCCAGACAGAUCUUUCUUCCCCAACCAGCUAAUCCAGAGCAAGGGGUCAGAUUUUUUCUACCGUUUGUAAAUUGUAACCAUGCUACCACUUUACUCUCCCAUCUGUGUUUUAAAAGAACUUAAGUUAGAAAAUUUUGAAAGAAGAAUAAAACGAUAAACAAAAGCAACUGGAAACCCAAUUUUGAAGCAACACAAUGUUAUAUUUUCAAUUCACCGAUCACAGGUACCAUUACUGCCCUGGGGCUUUAAGUCGCCGCAAACAAAACUGAGGAGUCUCCUACAUACUACGAAUUAGCUGAAACUAUAAUGACAUCAUUCUAAUUACUACAAGAAAGGUCAGGUCAAUUUGGCUUAAUUACCUUGUGGUUCUGCUUCGGUUGAUGGUAGACAAAUAUUAAUACAAGGAAUUUAAGCAUUGCUACCUUGAAUGAACACAUAUAUCCAAAAGAAAAUGUGUUUGGAAGUAAUUCUUGCUCUAUUCAAAUGUCUAGGGAAUAAUUUCAAAUAUUAUUCCAAUUUGAUUCUUUGCCUCAUCGACAACUCAACUCAAUUCUCAUUACAAUAGUUCAUAUGUCCAGAUUGAACAUGUACUUUGAAAAAGAUGCAUAGGCUGAAUAAUGUCCCCAUCCCAAUAAACAUACCAAAACAAAACAGCUAAAUUAAGAAACACACAUCCAUAUAGAGGUAAAGCUUCUGCCUUCUUCCUCAAACAUGAUUUAGAAAUCUUUACAAACCAGCCAGCCUGUAAUAAAACGUCUGCAUAAUAAUAAAAAAAAAGAAUGAGCCAUUGAUACUUACGAUUAGUAUUAGAAACAAUCAUCUCAUUAGGGGCUUACAAAGUAAGAUUUAAAGUCCAAACAAAGUAAUAGUUGAGUGUCCUUGCAUUGCAAUCGCCAUCGAUACUAACAAGCAUUGUGCAUCAUUGAACUCUAGUGGGGGCAAUAAUAUGAUAAUAUUUAACUAUGAUGAAAUGGUGAGCCAUUAACCUUGCCCUUGUGGAUACAUAAGCAGAAGAAAAGUACAUAAAUUCCAAAUCCGAAUUUAGUAGCAAUAUCAUCAAUACAUUUUCUUUGAAACGCACCAUCUGCUGCGUUGUGGGUUCUGAUUUCUUGCUGAGGAACAUUUGCACAAGCAGAGCCAUGUUGUGUCCAGGUAACCAGUAGAACAAAUAAAAAAGGACUAUCUCUGAUGCAUAGGUAUCCUAUAAUCUUCGACAAAUACAAAGAGUUUAACAAAAAUCGAAUGGUUUUAAAAAAACAUCACAGAGUCACAAGAUUUAGAAUCAAAAGAAUGGAAGGCUUUGUAAAAACCAUGCGCAAUUUCCAAACAGCACAAUUUUCUCUUCCAUUACAUAGAUUUUAACAAGGUUAUUAUGUAAAAUUAAAGGUAUAUUAGAAAGGUAGAUAUAGGCACAUAGCUGUUACUCCAAGGUAACAUAGGUUUCAGGUAGAAAGCUUCAAUCAGCAGCAAAAGCCCCUUUUCAUCUAGAUGGCUUGCAUAAUCAAUGCCUCCUCAUUCUGGUGUUUGAAAUGCUCCUGUACAACCAUCACAACAGACAGCUCAUCAUCUACAUCACCUUACUGUAAAGAAAUACCAUAGUAAUUUUUCUCUGCACAAAUAAGCAACGUGUAAGAAAGCUUUAAUUUUUUCACAGCCACAAAAUUUAAAUCCAUAGCAUGUAGUAACUAGUAAGCAUCUGUAGUAAUUCCUAUUUAAAGUGUCCCAGAAGCUUAACCACACCAAAGCAAUCGACGUAGAAGUCAGAAAGCUAACCAUAAGUCAAUGAAAUAGCAAAAUGAAGCCCUCGAAAAGCGAAACUGCCUUUUCUACAGGAGGUAGAAGUACUAAUACUUACUUCCCCCAUCCCAAAUUGUGGGUCGUUUUAGCAUUUCUACAUUAAUAAAAAGUUAGAUGCUGCCUUUUCUACAAGCUGUCGCUCCCACGAGGUUAUCUGCUAGAUCACUGGACGCAAUUUGCCAAUGGGACUGUUAUGGCAAGUGGGCUGGCCGCAGGCCUAGGCCCACGAGUAUUGUAGCUCGUGAACAGUACCACAAGGGGAAUAAGAUUGGUUUGUUAGCAGGUCAUUAGAGAUAAGGUUGUUAGAGAGAUACGGUUAUUUAGAUUAGAUUGGGUUUGUUAGGUAGCUGGCUAUAUAAGCACAGCCACACCAUCCAUUGUAAUCAAGCAAGAAGAACCCUAAAAGUAGUCGGAGCCUCCAAGGGAGGGCGACAAAUAGGUUCUUCGUGCUAUCCCUAGUUCUACCAUAUCAAGGACCGACCAACCCCUGCAAACAAAAUAAAUGUAGCAGGAUGCUGGUUUAAGUCGGCAGAAGAAGGGCAAAGAAGAUACAAAGUAAACAUUAAGGAAUUGAUCUUAAUUGGAUGCUUCCAUUUGAAUCUAUCUAGCAGUGAUCUAAUAACCAGAUGCACCACCAUAAUAACCAAUGGCAAAAAAUCUCAGGCAUAAACUUCUAUGUUUCAGACCAUACAUUUCAGCUUGACGUGGUAACAAUAAUGGAGCCGUACUGCAGGAGGAUGUACUUGAAAAGUUUAUUUUACCAUGGAUUGAAGAUACGGCAACUAGCCACUUUGCGAUUCUUCAAUAUCUUUCCUUGAGCUAAUAACUAUUGCAAGCUCAUCACCGCUAACACGAAAAUCAGACCUGUAAAACAUAAAGCUUAUAACAUAACCUAAAGAAAAGUAAUUGUCUGAUUCCUAGAGCUACAUCUCAAGCAACAGUAUAUUACUAACUUUAGUAAUCAUGGAGAUGAAUGGCCAAUUCUUCAACAUAUCUUAUAAUUAGUUAACAUACUUCUGAAAAAUGUCUCAUACUUACAGUUUAUAGUUAUGCAUUUUGCAAAGUUAAAAGCUCUUUUAGAUUUCUGAAGUUUUCAGUGAGGAUCCGCAAAUCUCUGUGAUGAUACCAGUUUCAUACAAAGAUGCAAGAAUUAUAUCUAAUAGUAUUGCCAGACCCAUUGGAUGUGUCCAUGAAACACACCUACUAAUUGGACAAUGGCUGUAGUGAAAAAUUCUUUGCAGAGCAAUAACAUGAAACAGAUAAGAAAUGAGAAAAAAGAGUAGGGAUCACGUACUAACCUAGGCCGUGCACUUGCCUGCUGUAUGCUAAAGGGGAAGAAACAUGUUCGGAUCAAACAUGGUGUCCUUCAAACAUGGUGGCCCUCACCUCUAAACAGUCAGGUAAAUCUAAGAGAAAUAGAAUUGCUGCCAACUGAAAGACUCGAAACUGCUAGAAGAAAAAUAACUCGCAGUGGCAACCUAUCAACACCAUUUUGAAGGCUACAAACCCUUUACUGCGUUAGACAUUAUAAUUUUAGGCUUGUUCAUCAAAGAGUGAAUUGCCGAAUUGAAGGAACAUACAAUAGAUUCCACAAGUACAUGAUAAAGAGGAGAUGAUAAAGUGGAAAUAAUACCCCUACUUACAUGUGUCUUUGGAUACAACAGGUACACGAUAAAUAAAGAUACAGAAGUCAAAAUAAAGAGAAGUUUGAAGGAGCGUAAAAGGAAUCGCAAUGCAGUUUUAUUUGAAUCCAUGUAUGCAUGUACGUGCAUUCUUGUGUUCAGUUAUGACAAAGAGGGUUAGGAGGAACGAGAAGUACCUGCUAUGCUGCUGCAUCUGGCUCUUUUCCUGGCAAGAGAAACAAAUAAAAAAUGAAUAAGGUGCAUAAAUAACAUAGUGCUGCAAUGCUAAAGGAGGAAACCAAAACAAACAUUUACGAAAUUGAUUAUGAUUAUUAGUAACUGAAUACAUUCAGAAAAAAAUAAAAACCAUUCGCAUUAGGGCUUGGCGAUAUAACUGAACCGUUAGGUCGCAAAGAUCAAGCCAUGUCACUAUAAGCAAUGCUGGUAGUGAUAGGGAAAAAAAGAAAUAACAGUUCUGACAGAAUCACUUAUGAUUUGGUUGCACACACAAAGUAGCAAGGAAAAAAAACAGUGCUUAGACAAAUGAAAACUUCAUAAAUCAAACUGCUGAAUGAUUGCAAGGGAGGUGCAUACUUCCUCUUUCUGUUGCCCAUAGCAUUUGUCAUGUCAUCCUUCGGCAUAUUGGUGCUUGGAGUUCCCACACUGUUCAAGAAAGAAAAGGUACAAUUUCAGGUUUCAUUAAGACAGUGCUGACAGAAUCACAGCUGUUACUCUGUUAGAAUCUAUUGAGUCCAAAGUCUAAACAUGUAUAUAUGAAGUCUAAAUAUACAGGAUAUGCAAGUAACAACAAUUAUAAUGGGCAAAUAAACAUUGCACUGCCUGAAUUGCCAUGUCUACAUGGCAUUUAGCAAUGCAAACUGUACAGAAUGGAAAGAAAAUCUGAAGUAAACAAUGAUCAGUCUAUCCAAAUAUAGACUCAAAGAACAAUUUCACAUACAGGCACAACAUCUCGGCCUGGAGAAUGGCGCAACAUCUCUGCCUUGUUUCAGAAUUCAGAAACCAGGUUUGGUGCCUUCCAGCAGUGGGCUACCAUGCACACAGUACGUCCAUACCUAACCAGAUGGGCCAAAUAGAGGCGCAUCACCAAACCAAAUCAAUUUUCAUACUCCGUCCCUCCCAAAUUAUAAACUGUUUCGGUAUUACUAGAUUCAUAAGUUUUGUUACGUACCUAGAUAUACACUGUGCUUAGAUACAUAGUAAAUUCUAUGAAACUAAAAACCGCAAAAUGAUCUACAAUUUGGAACGGAAGAGUAGUAUGCAAGAAAUGUCAAAUGUGCUAUCGACAACCAGGUAAUUUGUUUCUGAAAGAGAGUAGGGUUCAGUUCAGAUAUAAUGCUCUUGGACCAGUGAGCAUCAGCAAGGGGCAAGUUGCCGAUGUCCCAGUCCAAUUCUAUCACACAACUUGCCUACUGGAUCAGCUUAUUUCUUUGUUGGGCAAGCAUAAUUUUCCCCGUAUAAAAAGGCCACACAACCUCAAGAGAAGAUAAUGAGGUAAUACUUGGUGUACAAUACACAUAUAAUUGCUCCGUUCUUCAAUAGACAGUUCAGGUGCAGAACCAGUCCGAAUUUAAGCAAAGACAGUUCAGGUGCAGAACCAGUCCGAAUUUAAGCAGGUUCAGACCAUACUCAGAAAGGUUAUGCUUGAUUAAAAUUCUAUUGAUAAGUAUUUAUACAUUAUAACUGAAGGUAAUACGUUUCCAGAUGGCGUCAAAUUGCUGCUAGUCAAAGCCUCAUAAAAAAGUUUAUUGGCAGAUCUCUUGGACUGUCAUAGUGCAUGCUCCCUGUCCCUGACAUUGUAACCCUGGUGUGAGAUCCUUAAGUAAUCUGUCACUGGAAUCACCAAUCCUAUCCGUAGACAAUUACUUAAACCUAAUUUGAAACAAAUAUUAACUAAAUGGGCCAAAGAAUGUGAAGCUAACUGAAUGCAGUCUGCAGCAGAACUAAGAACAAUGUCAGGGCUGAUUGCUCAUAGGCUGACAGCCACAGCAAAGAAAAAUGUCCCUGCAGAAUGAUCAUGGAACAAAGCUGGGGUUACUUACUAAACACGAAGAACUCUCUCCUUCCAAGCUUCUUGGUUCUUCCGUUCCAAUGCUCUGUGGUACACAUGAAAGCAUCUGAUCAAUUUAUGUGCAUAAUUCAUUUUCCAAUGAACAAGCAUUGGGUUUGCUGGAUGUGGCUCUGAUCAAGUUUCUUCCUUGACAUUUUGUCAAACACAUGGAAUGCACCAGACUUUUAAUUUUAUUGGGUCAAGAUUUUGCAGGGAAAAUUAUUCAAUCAAAGAAACAUUACAAUGGGAAAAUAUGUUGAAUGGGAGAGGAAACAAUAACUUGCAAAUACUGAAUUUCAUGCUAGAGUUGUAAGCCAAUGGCUAGGAAUCAAAUGCAAAUGGCAGUGGUUCAAUUCUAACCAAUUGAAACAUAUGCUUGCGAGGGAACCAACCUUCUUGAAGACAUUGCAAGAGUUGCAGAAGCAUCCCCUGUAAUGACAGAGUGGCACAUGGAGAUUAGAGUUGAAGACAUUGCAAGAGUUGCAGAAGCAUCCCCAUCAAGAUUAUCUUGGAUCGAAGGUUGGCAUCCAUCGGUGUUCCAAAUCUCUAAUCACUGAGAAAAUCUCCAAAAUUAGCAACGCAAUACAAGCACGUUAUUGCACGUUAUUGCAGCGCUGCUGGUGGAGCCGUCCGGGAUCCCCAACCCCUUGAGGUGUUCGCCAACCUUGUUUACAUCCUUGCCGCUGCCGCCAUCGCCUACGUACCCGACCAGAUCAACCACAGAUUAGAUUAGGCCGCACCAGAGACUGCGGGGACUGCGAAGGGAGGGGAAGGACCACAGCAGAUUAGAUUAGAUUAGGCCGCACCACAUAUAGUUAGCUUGCAUCAUAUACCACAACAUUCAAUAUAGUAUGUACAGGCAUCAAAUUAGGAAAGGGAAAAGCAAUCAGAUCUUUUUGAAAAUAAAAGCGAAGAAUGCUGUGUUAAUCAAAACAAAGGGUAAUGAACAUCUGAAGUGAGCUAUGAGCUAACAGAUUAUAUAUUAAAUAUAAUAAGCACAAUUAGGAACGAAAAUUUACUCCAAAGAAUCCAAAAACAAGAACAUAAAAAAAAGCAGAGGAUCAGAGUUCUGGCUUGGUUCUCAAAAGAGAAAUUAUAGCACUCAGUAUGUUCAUUGUCGAUCAUCUGGGGAAAGGGUCAUCAUAUCCUCCGAGGUAUGCAACACAAUUAAGAGAGCUCUUACACAACACCAAAAGCAUAAACUCUGACAAGGGAAAAAGGGAAAGGCAGUAUAUGAAAUUCACUACAGGUCAACAAGAAAAUACAAUGCCGUAUAAACUAUGAAGGAUCAGAAUUCUGGCUUGGUUCUCCGAAGAGAAGUUAUAGAGUACAGUAUGUUCACUGUCAAUCAUCUGGGGAAAGGAUCAUCAUAUCCUCCAUUCAUAUAACGUUAAAUCAUAGGAGAAAACAUCAUUUUAGAUAACAUGUCCAAAAAUACGUUGUCCAGAGAAUAAUUGUGCGGUAGUCCAUGUAGCCAUGAGGUUGUGGUGGCUGAAGUCAUGGAUUCGAUACCCAAUUCUCCUUCUCUCAAAGCCGUAUUCCCAUAUUGACAUGUAAAAGUUCAAUUAAGUAGGAAUGAGAAAAUGUAUGACUACCACUACAUAUUGGUAUAAGCCACCAGCAGCCGCGGGGGCCGAGGGGGCGCGGAGGCGCGCGGGGAGGGAGGUCAGCGCGGACCGCAUCGCCAUGUCGUCGCGCUCGAAUCUGCCUGCGGUGGCCUGGUAGGGUUGAAGGGGAGGAGAGGACGGGGAGGAGAGCCGCCGAUUGGGUCGCAAUCGAGCUAAUGUGGAGGGAGGUCGGGAGAGCAGACGGGAAGAAGGAAAGAAACGCGUGAUUUGCGGGCGGGAUUGGCCGCGGGUACGGCGGGCGGUUGAAAAAUAAGCCAUUCCCCCGCCGCCAUUCCACUCCGCUCCCAUUCCCCCGCCGCCGCAGGAGCGCACUCCCUCCUGCACCCACCGGCGGCCCGCAAGCCCCCCACACCUUCUCCCUCUCCCUCCCCUUCCCCAUUCCUCCGCCUCCCGGCCCCCGCGCGCCCGCGCCUCCCGCUCCGCCUCCGCUCCACCUCCCCGGCCGCCGCCUCCGACCUCACCGACUUCCCCAACCCGAACGGCAUCCUCGCGCCCAUCGACGUGGACGCCGUCACGGAGGCGGAGCUUCGCGAGAACGGGUUCCGGAGCACGCGCCGCACCAAGCUCGUCCGCACCGUGGGCCCGGCCACCUCGUCGCCCGAGCAGCUCGAGGCGCUCGCCAUCGGCGGGAUGAACGUCGCCCGCCUCAACAUGUGCCACGGGGACCGGGAGUGGCACCGGGGCGUCAUCCGGGCAGUCAGGAGGCUCAACGAGGAGAAGGGCUACGCCGUCGCCGUCAUGAUGGACACCGAGGGCAGCGAGAUCCACAUGGGGGACCUCGGCGGCGCCACAUCGGCCAAGGCGGAGGUGAGGUGUUGUGCUUGUAUGUAAGCUGCUGUCCAGUUUUGUACUUGGCGUUGCGGUUUUCAGUUUUCAGAUUGAACGCUUUCACUUGAACGUAUUCCGUGAAAUGUGCUUGUGCAAUGUGGAUGAGAGGAACGGGUGGUGGCAGUGGCAGUGUCAGGCAUUGCAGUUUCAUACUUCUGCAAAACCUAGCGAGUCAGGAUUUCACCAAAAUGUUUUUUUUCCAUCUUCAAAAUGGCUCAGUUGAUUUAGAUUUUCAGCUCAUGUUUGAAAUUGCUAUAGAAGGAGAAUCAUUCAGAAUUUCAGAUUGUCAUCAAACACUGGAUUGUGAAAGUGGUAAUCAUUUUCAAGGCUUUCAAUCUUUCAAAAAAAAAAUCAAGGCUUUCAGUAUCAGUGCAACUCAAAUAAAGUGCAUGGUAAACAUCACCAUGUUUUGGCUUUCUCUGCAUAUAAGACAGGGUGCUGGAGUGGUUCGACCGCGUUGAGGUCCCAAUCCAACCGGUCGGGUUUUUUCUAGGUGUCAAGUUUGAGUGCUUACCCGCAUUGACAUCCCAAUCCAACCGGGCGAGUCUUGUUUAUUUUUCGUUUCUUUUCCUUUUCCUACCUAUGGCCUCCCAGGGCCGUAGUCUUGUAUUUUCUGCUAUAUCAAUACAAACUCGCACGGUUCGUUCAAAAAAAAAGUGAUAGGCAUUGAGGUUCUGAAGGUUGUUUUUUAGAUCUUAGGCCCAAGCCUCAAAUGGCUUUUUUUCCCCUGUUGCAAACCUUCCUUUAAGUAUUGCAUCUAGCACCGGGGAAAACACAGGAAUAUCUUUCAUUUCAGCAACAGAAUCUCUUAUAAAAAGGGCGUACCCAGUGCGAAAGCUCCCACACAAGGUGGGGUCUGGGGAAGGGAAUUCCUAGACAACCUUAUCUUUGCAAUAUUCUUUUAAAAUUCUGCAAAGAGGCUGGUUCGAACCCAGGACCUCCGGGCCACAAGUGGAGAGUUUAAUUUGAAUUAGCUUUAUUAGUAGAAUGCUUGGCCCAUUUAUUGGUAAAUGGUAAAAUUCAUAAAGAUUAUCCUUAUUCCGUUAAUCAAUUUUAGGUGUUUAACUUGCAGCAAAUUCGAACAAUGACAGACAUGCAGCAUAUUGUUAGUUCAUCUGUAAGACUUAGCUUGCUGGUUUAAUGCUUUGUUAAAGGUUUGAAGUUAAUGUGUCUACUGGUAGCUACUGAAUCUCUUUAUAGUUUAUUUAUAUCUUUUUUCUUUAUUAGUAUAAAGCCAUGUAGAAGUUUUCAGAAUACUGAAAUUUCUAGUGUUCGUUUUGUGGAGUCUCUCCACCUACAUCCUUUUUUACAACUGCAUUUCAGAUCCUUCAGUUAUAGCAUGAAUAUUUUUUUAAAAAGAAACUUCUAGGUCUAUUCUUGCCCGUAAUUAAUGUUAGUGUCUGAUGAUAGUUGUGUUUUAGAUAAUACAUUAAUAUUAGUAAUCCAAAGAAACUGAACUACUUCUAUGAUUCUAAGGCCCUGUUUGGCAUGGCUCCAACUCCGGGUGGAGCUGCUCCACUCCAGAACUUCACAUGGAGCCAGCUCCGCUCCAAAACUCCAGAACAAAAAUGAGGUGUUUGGCUAGAUGGGUGCUCUCAGCUCCAAAAAAAAUCGAUUUCAGUGUGGAUUGCCAUUGUUGCCCCCCAAUUAAGGCACCACUUGUCAUCCUCUCUAUCCCAUCUUCUUCUUCCCCUUUUUCCACUGCACUGUGCCGCACACGGGAGACCCUCCAUGGGCGGCGGGGUGGGUAGCGACGGGGCGGCGGGUGGCGACGGGCGACGACAGGCGGCGGGGUGGGUGGCGGCGGGCGGCGACGGGCGGCCGGCGCGGCGACGGGCGCGGCGGUGGGUGGCGGCGGGCGACGGGCGCGGUGAUGGGCGGCGACGGGCGACGGGCGGCGGCGGGCGGCAACGGGCGGCGGCGGGCGGCAACGGGCGACGGGCGACGGGCAGGGCUCUGGCGGCGAGUGGGGCUCGGGAGAAUAGAAGGGAGAAUAGAAUGAAACGUUUUUUUGUGUAACCAGUGGCAUUGGUGGGUAAUUACCCACCAACUCCACGAUAAGGUUCGAAAGAGAGGUUUCUGGAGCAGCAAAAGAGGUGCUCCAAAACUCCACCUGCAUUUGCACUACAGCUCCAUGGAGUUGGCAACUCCAUGGAGUUUUGGAGUUGGGGUGUUUGGCUGAAUUUUUUGAUGGAGUUGCUGGAGUUUAGGAGUGGAGCCGUGCCAAACAGGACCUAACUGUCAUCAGUGCUAGCUAGGGUCACUAUGCCAAAAGGAGAUUAUAUCACCAUUCGGCUGUUUAUCUUAAGUUUUUAACCAUACAGUCAGAAGUUUGAUUGUACACCUAUUCAAUAAUCCUAGGUUUUCUUGAGCCACGUUAUUUACCCAAUGACUUCCAUUUUUCUUGGAAUUAAAACAUUUCUGAAGUAAUUAAUAAAUCAUCUCACAUUUGUUGGAUUCCACAGGAUGAAGAAGUCUGGACAUUUAGUGUUAGGUCAUUUGAAUUGCCUCUCCCAGAACGAACUAUUAAUGUGAUUAUGACGGGUUUGCUGAAGGUAUAUAAGCUGACCUAUUUGUUGAUAUCUUUCGCUGUUAUUGUUCACUGCCAUAAUUUUGCAUCAAAAUCCUACACAGAUGUGAGAGUUGGUGAUGAGCUUCUUGUGGAUGGUGGAAUGGCUCGGUUUGAGGUGAUUGAGAAGUUGGGACCAGAUGUUAAGUGUCGCUGCACGGAUCCUGGUUUAUUGUUGCCACGUGCGAAUCUUACAUUCUGGCGUGAUGGCAGUAUUGUCCGUGAGAGGAAUGCUAUGCUUCCUACAAUUUCAUCAAAGGUAAAUGCAGUAGCAUAAUAAAUUUCUUGCUGCAAUUACCAAAAGACCGCAAAACUUUGUUAAUCUAUGCCCCCCCUUGGUACUAGUAUUGCAAUGGAUUUACAGCUUGUUUUUUCUGUCAAUGCCAUGGUCAGUUCAAAACAACAUGUAUUAGUUCAAAGCCUUACAUUGUGCACUGAAACUCAUCUCUCGAUAGUUUUUGUCAGCUAUUUCUUAAGAAGGCUUCUACCACCUAGAGUUGUUUAACUGAAAAUUUAAUCUUCUAGUAGCAGAUACUAAUAUUUUAAGUUUAUAACAAUGCUGCUCCUUUUCUUGUGACAACUUGUGCAGGAUUGGCUUGACAUAGACUUUGGAAUUGCCGAAGGUGUAGAUUUCAUCGCUGUUUCAUUUGUCAAGUCAGCAGAAGUAAUUAAACAUUUUAAAAGCUACAUAGCUGCAAGGAGCCGUGGCAGGUACCAGGAGUAUAAUUCUGUACUGUUAUUUAAGUUUAUGCUUUCUUGGAAAAGCCAUAUUUGACAUUAUUAAACUGAUAACGGGUGUUCCUAGAACUGUUCUGCAUGCUUAGCCACUGUUUGUGGUUGGUUCCUGGUCAGUCCCAGAUGAUUACUCAUACUGGUAGGGUUUUAGUUGUAUUCUAACCCCCAAAAAAUCAGCCUGGAAUAUAUUGGUUUCUAUGUAGUUACUAGAGAAAACAGUGAAUCAACAAGAUAUCCCCUUUCUGGUGUUCCUCCUUUUCUAAAUAAUGCUGUGGAACAACAUGAUUCAUGGAAGAAUAAUAAGAACUGUUUAAAAUUGUUUGGCUUUCCUCAACCUGGUGUCUUCUCUGUGCCAAAAAAACAACACUUGGUGUCAGGUGUCAUCUCAGCACCUACAAUUCAUCUGCAUGCACUAGAAAAAUUGUGUGUGUGUAGCUCCUGCCAAAAUUGCCAGUUUGCCAUUGUACGUCCAUCUCAUGUUUUGUGGCUAAAACUCAGUUAGUGACACAAAAAGUUACCUAGAUUAAAAUCGCUAAUCCCAAACCGCAAGUGAUACCAAUCUUGCUAUGUUAUCUUUUAUACUUCAAUUAAUUGGGCCUUGCAAACAUCUAAAUCAGAAAGGAUUGCUAGUACCGUGUUUCUGAAAUGUUUCCUUCAUUUUGCUGAACUUUGUUGGUUCCUUACUCUAAUAAUGCUUUAUUUUAUAUGAUCAGUGAUAAGCAGUCAUUGCGAAAAUUGAGAGCAUUGACUCUUUAAAGAACCUGGAGGAGAUCAUCCGAGCAUCAGAUGGUGCCAUGGUAGCCACUCUGGAUAUGGGGGCACAGGUUCCCUUGGAGCAGGUCCCCUCAAUACAAUAAAAGAUAGUUCAACUGUGCAGGCAGCUCAACAAGCCAGUCAUUGUUGCUUCUCAGCUCCUUGAAUCAAUGGUCGAGUAUCCUACUCCCACAAGGGCCGAAGUUGCCGAUGUUUCUGAAGCUGUCCGCCAGCGUGCGGAUGCUCUAAUGCUUUCUGGUGAGUCAGCAAUGGGAAGAUAUCCAGAGAAGGCUCUUAGUGUUCUGAGGAGCGUUAGCCUCAGGAUUGAGAAGUGGUGGCGGGAGGAGAAGCGACAUGAGGCACUGGAACUUCAAGGUGUUUCAUCUUCAUUCUCUGACAAGAUAUCAGAAGAAAUCUGCAACUCGGCAGCUAAAAUGGGUAAGUACUGCCACCAUCGUAUUCAGUGCAUACCAUAGUUAUGUUGUCAUAGCAACUGAUAUAGCAGCUGACGCCAUCUUUGUUUUCACAAAGACUGGCCACAUGGCCUCCUUGCUCUCACAGUGCCGUCCUGACUGCCCAGUUUUCGCCUUCACAACAUCGACGUCCGUCAGGAGGCGGCUAAACCGUCAGUGGGGCCUCAUCCCAUUCCGCCUCAGCUUAGCAACUGAUAUAUUCAAUUGCUUUGCUGUUUCAUCUUCCUAUUAUUGUCCAUUAUCUUGGUUACUGACAGAACAUUUAGAUUCCAUUUUCUUAGAAGCUGUGUCUAAACAAAACCAAUUUCAUCUGCAGCUAACGGCCUGGGAGCUGACGCCGUCUUUGUUUUCACAAAGACUGGCCACAUGGCCUCCUUGCUCUCACGGUGCCGUCCUGACUGCCCAGUUUUCGCCUUCACAACGUCGACGUCCGUCAGGAGGCGGCUAAACCUUCAGUGGGGCCUCAUCCCAUUCCGCCUCAGCUUCUCAGAUGACAUGGAGAGCAACCUGAACCGCACCUUCUCCCUGCUAAAGGCCAGGGGCAUGAUCCAGUCUGGCGACCUGGUGAUCGCCCUCUCUGACAUGCUGCAGUCCAUCCAGGUGAUGAACGUACCCUAAGAAAGAGCCUAAUCCUCUGUGGGAUGAUCAUAUGAGAUGGAAGAUGGACCAUGAACUUUAUCGGCACCUUGAAGGACAGUUCCUUGCACCAAAAUUAUUCGCUUUCACCCUGUAUUAGAUGCUGGGCAGGACUAGAGAACUGUGGCAAUAAUUUGCAGCUUUGUGCCCUGCUGUAAAACUGUUAUAUUACUAUUAGCUUUAUUUAUAGUCUGACCUUGGGGUGACUCUUUAAUGUGCAAGCUUUGGGUCUUGCUGUGGGCCGUAAUGGGCUUAUAAGUGAAGCGCAGGGAGAAGAGGAAGAACCCGCUGAAGAACAUGGCUGCUGUGCUCAAGCUCAACCCCUACCUCGGCACUGCCCGCAAGAUGGCUACCCUCGCUAAGGUUGCCCACAUCAAGGCAAGGAAGGAGAAGCUCGAAUCCAAGAGGACCAAGCUUAGCCCGGUAUGACCAUUUUUCUCCCUCCAUUUCAUUUCUGAUUAUGUCAAUAAUACCUGAAUUGAUCACUUAGAUUGCUCAUGUAGUUCUGGUGUACUGUUUAUGACUUGUAGUGUUUGCUAUGGUACAUUUUCUGCCCCUUGUAUGAAUGGUUUAAUUUGUUUGAUGUAUCAUAAUUUGAGCAAAUUUCAUUGCUUGAAAGUAUUAGUACUGGAGUUCUGUGUGAAUAACAUGAUUCUGCUGUAGUGAUUCUUGUUGGGGUUUAGUUAUGUGCAUUGAUCUAAUGUUGUGCCAACAAAUAUUCUUGUAAUUGCGCGUUUGUGCUGUAUCAGUAUGCAUGGGUAAUCUAGUUUGUCAUUGUUUACUAUUUGCUCAGGGUGUUUCGGUACCCUUAAUUGCUUUUAGUAAGGCAUUUGUCUAUGUUCUGUUCCAUUUCUUUAUAUGCUAGUAGAUAUCUGAGCAAUUGUUUGUUCUACUCUUUUCUUAGAAAUGAUUUAUGGUACUGGAAGCUUCGGUAAUCUUUGCAUAUAUGGCAUAUGACAUGCCCUGGUAACUCAUGGGUCAGGGUUUAUCUUGAAUGUUUUAGUUCGAUCCCUCUUGUUGAUUUGUGUUCUGAAUUGGUAACUUGGGACUAUGCCUUGUUAGAAUGUGAUGAAUAGAUUGAUGUUUUACUAAGCGUUUUGAUUACAGAAUACUAGAAUGAAUGUUAUUACAUUAUCCAUGUUUCGAACUGAAUCCCAAAAUUUACUGAAUCCCUUCACAUCCAUAUAUCUCCUGAAUAUUUGUUUAACUGUAUAGUUUGAUAUGUUUACAUUGUUGUCAAGAUUCUUUGUUGCAUGCCCAUAUAUCUUCUGAACACUACAGAACUGACCAAUAUGUGAACUACUGUUGGUUUAAUGUAUCAGAUGCUGAUUAUUUCGUUCAGCUGUAUGCCCUUUUGUCAACAAACACGUACUGAACAAUAUCUGUAGAUCCAUUGUUGUAGGAGGAGGCUGCCAAGGUCAAGGCUGCUGGAAAGGCAUGGCACAGGACCAUGAUCUCAGACAGCGACUACACCUGAGUUUGAGAACUUCUCAAAGUGGCUCGGCGUGACUCAGUGAGCGGGUGCUAUCUAGUUAAGUUUUGAGUAGUAGUGUGGCUGAACUUAUCUCGAGAGGGUUUAUCGCUUUGUUUUAUCCUGCAUCAUCAUAAGAAUUCAAUCUGUGGGAUUUUAAGACAAGUCUUCCUUUUUGUUAAUGCGUUGCUGUGAAAUCAUUCUAGUAAAUAUUCACCUUGACGAUCUUUUGGAAGGACAGCGACCACAAAAAUUAUGAAUUGGGUAGAUGGAGGAUUUAUGUGCUGUAUUGAGAGAGCCCGUAGGUGCUAGAUUUCUCCGGAAACGUUCGAUUUAAGCUUGUAGAUAUUGUGAUGAAUCCCGUCACCAUUUUCCCAUGAAACAUUCUGAAAGUUCUGGUAGUGGUAUCCACUGCUGCAGUUUUACAAGCAUGUAGGGUUGUUCCUCUGUUUGUUGAUUAGGUAUUAUGUUUUGCACAGUCUUAAAGUUUAGAAGGUAAUUACCCAGGUGUUCAAGUAUACCUUCAAGUUUUUUUUUACACAGUGUACAUAUUACCUUGUUAUAGUGAGAACAGAGAAGUCCACCGCAAAAGUAAAGCCUAGCAUAUAUUGUUCUUGCAAUAGACCAUGUGUGUAUAUGCCCCUUUGUAGGUUGAUUAUUCCAUUCAGAACAUAGCAUGGACCUCUAUAGUGUUUUGGAUAAAUUUUUUUAUUAUAAAGGUACUUGCCGAGGCACCAAUUUGGGAGUCUGCGGGGUAAAAUGUUCCCGGCGUACUUCAUAUUGAUAUCAGUGUGUUCAGCGAUAUCUGUUGCAGCAUUUGCAUACCUGCAUGGAUUCCUUCUUUCGGCCCUUAUCUGUAACCUUUCAAACCUUCUGGUCAUCACACCUAUGAUGGUUGAAGUAAAAUACUUUGUUUGUGGCCUUGAGCUUUUUACUACCUCUCGUUUUGCAUUUGCCAGAUGCUAGUGUGCUAGUUAUACAGAAUAUCACAAAAUUAUAGUUUGAGUAUGUGAUAAUAUCGUUACUAAUGAAUGGAAUCUUACACUUUUUAUAUGCAAUUUUGAGAUUUACUUUGCUGAUGGUAGUAGAGGUAUGUAAAGCAAAAGAAAGUUACUUUUAAAUUAUUAGUUAUAUGGUUAUAUUUUAUAGGUCAGCGAUUUCUGAGUACUAGUCAUAGCAGCGCUCACAGGAAUAUACUGACUUGUUCUUUAUUUUAUUUUCAAGAAUUAAUACAGAUAGCAUAAAGCAGAAUCCAGUCCAUGAAUAGUUAGCGAUCUAGCAUCUGGAGGUGAAAAUCUAGCUUGGUUAGAACUUAGAAGCAUAGUUGUGGAUAAAAUUUGUGGGAAUCUAAUUUGACAAAACAAGUAGACAUGUCUGGCUGCAUAUAUGAACCUUUCAAACUGCAUCUUAUUGUUUCUGAGAUCUGAUUGGUGAUUUUUCCACAUUUGCAUUGUAGCACACAUCACUUGGAUAUUGUUUUAGAGAGCAAACUUGACAAUCGAGAUAUCUUGAUUGCUGAAAUCGAUGCUGACAAUGUUCUGUUAUUUGAGUAGGAUAGGGGUUAUACAUAAAAAAAAUAAGAAGAGAGAAUGUGCCUUGCAGGCUUGUACUUUGGUUGGUUGAGCAUUGCUCUUUGUAGUUUGCGCUUUCAUUUUCACCCGUGCCUAUUGAAUUGCUCUCUUUCACCUAGAUGAUGAUGAAGAGGUACAAGAUAGAAGGACCUCGUGAGGCCGGGUACUCCAAGAAUGAGGAGAUGGCCAAGAGGAACCCUGCCCUGGCGGCAAUCAGUCAGAAGUUCAGGAUGAUCCACGUGCUGUCGUCACUGGCCAGCCCCAUGUCCUUCGGCAGCCUGGCCAUCCACUCCUGAUACCUCCCCAGCAAGCUCGACCCGUGACUGCCUGACCGAGUGUUAGCUGGUGCCUGGUGAGUGGUGACCUACGAACUCUGAACUUAGCCUAGGUUUCUGUGGAGAAAAAAGAAGUCAUGUCUGUGCAAGAACAUUGGUCCUCGGGAUGAUAUGAUUAGCCUUUAAUAAUGUACAUAAUGCAGGAACUUCGUUUCAUUUUGUAAUUUGUCUAUAGGAAAUGUGUCUGGCAAAUUCCUAGAUUUUACAGCCAAGAAAUGCAGCUAAACAUGGUCUCUCGGCUCAUGGAGCUUGGGUAUAAAGAAAUGACUAGGAUCUUCUGCAACUUUUAGAAUGCCUACUAUCUGAAAAAAAAAAUUGGCCAGAGAUGACGAGUUUGGUAUGCAUUCCUGAACACUGGUUUCUCUUGUCUGGUGGUCCAAAACCAUAUGGCGUUCCUUCAUCUAGGCCAAAUCUAUUAUAUUCACUUUCUGAAGAUAAUAUCCAGUGAAGCCAAGCCGAAGUCUAGAAAACAAGUCCACAUUGCAAACUGAAGAAUUUAGCAUAUGGAACUCCAUGCUCUAGUCUUUCAUCCUUCUUCAAGCUGAAGUCCUUGAUUUUGAUCACAAAACAAGUCCCAGACUGCAAGUUGAAGAAUAUAUAGCAUAUUGAUCGAGCUCCAUGCUCCAGCUUUUUAUCCUUAUAUUUUCUUUUGAACUAUGGCGUGUUUGAACUCAGUGUCCGCUCCAGCGUAAGCAAAACACAUACACAGCUAGCACUUUCAUUUCAUGACGUGUUUGUCUACAUUACUGCAGAAGUACUUGCCAUAGAAUAGGUCAACAAUCCAACAUACUACUACUCAUGUUGUUGUUCGACAAGCUGUCUAAGCUGCUGCUUGAAUACGAACUGAAAGUGCUGAACUUUGUCCAUGUUAUGUUGGUAGUAUAUCUAAUACUGAACGGUGUGCAGGGUGAUCCUGCAAGGCUUUUAGAUAGCACGGUCUUGUGCAGAGGUAUUGUCGAGCUCUGUUUCUUCAAAGUUACGUCUGCUCUGUUUCUUCAAAGUUACGUCUUGCAAUUGCAGUAACAUUUCUGCUGGUAAUUCUGUAAUCUCUACUAUAAAAAAAGCAAAGAGGACACAAAAAUGCGGUCCGUCGUUUGGCCGCCGGGCGAUGUCCCUCGCUCCAUUUUGGGCCGUCCGCUUGCAGCAGCCUCCGCGUGCAGCCGUUGACCUGGAGAUUCCGUGAGUUGCGGCCCACACGUUUCCUCCUCUGUCCGUUUCCCUCCUCGCGGAUCCCUUCCUCCUGCAGUCCUGCCCAUGCGUCGCCAUCCGCCGUCGACGCAACUCCCUCAGUCGCGUCGCCUGCCGCCGCCACUCCCUCCGUCGCCGCAACUUCUCCCUCCCUGCAUCGUUAGGCCUGCGUCGCCAUCCGCCGCCGCCCCUCCCUUUCCUCACCUCCGCGCCGCCAGAAACCCCCGCCCCUGCCUGCGUCGCCAUCUGCCACCGCCCCUCCCUUUCCUCGCCUCCGCGCCGCCAGAAGCCACCGCCCCUCCCUUUCCUCGCCUCCGCGCCGCUAGAAGUCACCGCCCCAUCCUGAGUCGCCUCAUCGCCGCAAGCGACUCCGCCCCUCCCUGAGUCGACGGAACACCGACAGUCGAGGCUACGCUGCACGCCAACUAGAUUUCUCAGUUCGUUGGGUUUGAUCACGGUACCUCUCAGUUUCUUAGUUUGUCAUGCAUCUGAACUUUGUGUGACGUUCAUGUUCUUGUCAUUUGAUUUGUUUGGUCGGUGUUCAUGUUCUUAGAAUCUGGUGCUACGUGACAUUAUAGGCGGUGUUGUGUUUUCUGAAUUGUCGGCGACUUGAAAAUUUGAGAUUCAGAUCGUGAUUUGUUUAGGUGGACAAUUAAAAUUUGAUGAUAUGUCCUUCCCGAGAGAGAAACGUAUUACCUGUGGUAAUUGAGGAUGGUAGAGAUAAUUUACUCUGCAUGUAAACUGAGGACUGAGAUUCAAGAGUAAUCAUAGAACACGUAGACCACAUUGACUGGAAAAUUAGUCCUCUCCAAUUUUUGCUGAUCUGUCCCUGAUAGUACAUAAUUAUUUUGCCACUUUUUGUGCAAGCUUAUCGAUGUACGAAUUAAUAAUGGAAAGUAAGGAUUGCGAUAGUAGGGAUUGGGACAUUUGUUAUGCUUAUCGAUGCUUAUGGCAAUGCUUCAUAAAAGUAGUAUACACCGCCGUGCACUUCGAAUUCAUGAUGGACAGUAGGGAUUGUGAUAUGUGAUAUGCUUAAGGCAAUGCUUCAUAAAAAGAGUAUGCACCUCCGAGCACUUCAAGUGUACUCUGAUGCACACACAAGCACACAGUUCUAGAUGGUUAAGCCGGUCUGUGAUUAGCAAGAUUUUCAUGAGAAUGGUAUCAGUUAUCAGACAUUCUGUGAUAUCUUGAAUGGAAAAAUAAAAUCAAAAAGGAAAGCACGAUAAAUAGAUAAUUUUUCUUGAAUUCUCCCAUAUUCAGAAAAUUGACUGACCGAGUGUGGAUAAAUCCUUUUUUUUGUUACUUGGACCUCAGUUGGCCUUUAUAUUACUCUGAAUAUGUAAGAUCUCAAUAAACAGUAAAUUUGAGGAGGAUUUGCUAUCAUCUUUUGAAUCGUUCAUCCCGGUGGCAGAUUUCUUGAUUGCCUUAAUUGGGGCUGCCCCAGUUAAUGAGAACUAAAUAGCUCUCAUGAUGAAAACAAGUGUUAUUCAUAACAGCUACUUGUAGUGAUGGUGUCUGGCAGAGUACCUUGCUUAUCCAGUGCUUUCCUGUGACAUUCCAUUUUGCUUUUCUCUUGAAGGGUGUUUAUGUUCGUCGGGUUGUGCCUACUGCUCCAGCAAGCAGUGUUUUGUGAAAGGUAACAUGUAGUAAUUAGAUCCAGUUCACAUAUUGAAUACCUUUGGUUGUCCUCCAAUUUUUGCUGAUCUAUCCCACAUAAUUUUUCUUCUUUUUUCCACACAAUUUUUCUUCUUCUUGCCACAUAAUUUUUGCGGCUACCAUGUUUGACAAUAAAAAUUGGUAUACAGUCAUCUACAAAAAUCAUCCCCUGGAUACAAAUAGUACAUCCCCCUGGUACAAAUAGUACAUCCCCCUGGUUAGCAAUUUUGCAGAUGUAGAAGUACAGUUCCAUUACCGGUUAACCACUAUCUACGUUCUUAUUUUCACUAGGAGUUACAUUAAAAUAAUUCAUUCAUAUGUUCUGUAUAAAGGAAUAGACAAAAAUGGCACCACUUUGUUUUACCUAUGUACAAAUAACUGUCUGAUUGGAUAUUACAACAACAAACAAGAAGAGGCGCUUCAUGAUCAUUUGAUUUAGAACUACAACCUAAAAAAUAAAUGGUCUGUCCAGUUAUUAAUAUUCUGGUUUCAUACUGCAACAUAGAAAAGUGAUUAAAACAAGCCCAAGUAAUCUGUCCUGCUGCACUUUCUUAUCUAUAAUCCUGAUGCCAAUUUGUUUCAUGUGCCUGGAAGUGAUGGGAGAAGGUGCAGGAGAAGGAUUUAGAAGUUCUUAAUUUGCAGGUGCAAUUUUUUUAUGUGACGCAUCUAUGUGACGCUUGACUUAUCUUAUUUCCAAAAUCAAACACUUCAUACUCGUGCUAAUGAUUAGAACCUGAUGAUUGGGAAGCUGAUGAGGAUGUCGAUCUCGAGACGGCUAAUGAAGAUUCCAACGAACCCGAUGUACCGGAUCCAAACGAUGCGGUUUAUGCUAAUGUCCCUGACGAGACGCACAUGCUCAAGCUAGAGGAUAACUGCAAGCACUGCAAUGCAAAGAAGUUUGAGUCCGAGCCACCUGAAUUCUGUUGUCAUAGACACCACCGGAACUCGUGAGACUGUGGUUGAGCUCGGACGCUGAUGCUAGGCAUUUCCGUGCAAACAUCAGAUAUUUCAAUGAACACUUCUCUUUCACUUCUCUAUACUGUAAACUUGAUCGUGUGACCACCGACAUGACAAACUGUGGAAUUUACACAUUUCAUGCCCAUGACCAAAUCUACCAUAACAUAUGAUCAUUUGGUAAAGAGGAUGGUCACGAACCUGGACACCUCGAGCUUUAUUUUUACGACGACGAUCUGUCUCUUCAGCAUAGGCUCCGCAAGUGCCGUGAGAAGUCUGCCCAAGAAGAUAGGAGGUCAUCUAGAGGCUAAAGGACAUCUUACAUGGCAUUAAUCCCUGCUUAGAGAAUCUUAGGAGUAUAGGCCAGGUUGACAACCUUGAGGAUUACUAUGUCGAGUUGAACCUUGACCAACGGCUAGACCAGAGAACAUAUAAUGUGCCAUUAACGUCGUUGCUGCCGUUUGGAUUGAGGGGAGCGAGCCUCGGGGCCAGUUCGAUAAUAGUGUUGUCCUCCAAGGGAAGGAUAGGUCGAUCCAUGGUAUUCGGCCCUAUCGUGUGUGCUACGAUGCUCUCUCAUACCCGCUAUUCUUUCCAAGAGGUGAGCUCGGGUGGCACAAUUGCAUUCCAAAAGUUGGUGUGACUGAGGUUGAAGUAAAUAAAGCUCGAGCGAUCCGCAAGGCGCGUGCUGAUGGUGGUGGCGACAAUGAUGCUGGUAAAUUCAUAUGUCUUUAUAGUGUCUUACAAACAUUAGACAAAUUUUCCGCAUGUCGUCAAUCACGGCCGCCUUUUUUUGGUUCGUCGUUUGGCUUCGUUUGUCUGCCUCGCCGCUCAGUUUUUCUCAAGAACAGUCCGUCUCCCCGCCCACGUUCGCCGACAGACGCACCUCACCUCCUCCGUGCUGCACCCGGCCGCACCUCCUCCAUCCGCCCUCCGCCACUUAGCCAAGCCGUGCCUCACCUCCUCUGUCCUCCGAGCGCGGAACCACGCCCGCGCUUUCCCCGCCCGGCCGCACCUCCUACCUGCUACGCUCGGCCGCAGCUCCUCUGUCCGCCGCCAAGACGGGCCACCUCCGUCCGCUGGGCGUCCAACACCGGCGCGCCACUGCCCAGCUGCCCCUCCACACCCCUCCACACCGGCGCCAUCCCCGGCUGCUCCUCCAUGAAGGGAUCUCCAAAUUAGUCCCAUAUGCAGCGGAGGUGAGAAGAUGGAGGCACGAGAGGUGGGGCCUAUCUCGAGCCCGGUGUCAUCUGCCUUCAUGAAGGGAUCUCCAGGUUAGUCCCUUAUGCAUGCAAACAAAUCUAAUCAGCAGCCUCUCCUUUGCACCAACGAACAGAUCCAAUUGUUCUUGAAAAUCAGGUCCAAGUUCACAUCUCUUUUGCCCUCCCACUCAAAGCACAAUCAGCCAGCGCGACAGGGAUGGCGACACAGACACCGACGGCUGGAGCUCCCUCAAUGCUGCCAGGUAAUUGACUAGCCAAUUACUAUUUGGAUGUGAUGCACAUUGGUCACGGAUUUGUAAAUCUAUCAGUUCCUGCUUCCUGCAUCCAUUUGUGCAGUUCUUGUGGUGGAUGCAGUGCACUGAGUAUAGAAAUUAUUUUUGAUUACUUCUGUGAAACGUUUUGGCCUUGGCAAGUAUGUACAGAUUUAGUUGUUGUUUUUUCAGUCAGAGGUGAGCUACGUGUAUGGGAAAGAAAAACUUGAUUGCUUGUUCUAGAUCUUGCCUUCAUAUAAACUGUGAUGCUAUCAACAUGGAGAUUUGAUGCAUUCUACUCUCUCUCUAUUUAACAUGGAAAAGAACUCGUGUUUACUCAAUAAUGCUUAUGAAUUUUCCUUAGAGUUGCAUUUAUUCAUCAUUCUAAAGUAUUCCGUGUCAAGUAAACUCAUACUUCUAAUUUUUCAAAAAAAAAAUCUGAAAUCAAUGAACCCCUCCUUCCUUGUGAAAUUGUUGUACCUUUUUUCUUAUGACAUCUUAUCUACUUCCACUUUCCUGGUGCAGAAUUUUUGAAAGUAGGAAACGUAAGCAAUGACAGUGACAGUCGCAGCAAUACUGAGCUCAAUAGGUGAACUAGACAAACCAUUCUGCUGUAGUUCAUUUUAUCACUGCAGUCAUCGUCAGACAAUGAGGUCAGAACCAGCAGGUUCGCAGAGUGACUUGUGACUUGUGGAUAAUCCUGCAGAUUCAACAAUGGUAAAGUAACGAAUGGUUAAGGUAUAAGUAGAUUUACUCAAUUAUACUCCAAUAGCUAAUGCAUUGCAUAUAUUGCUUGGCCGUGUAUAUAAAUAUUACAUCACUGUUCAACAUAAGUAAAUAGCUUAGUCCUUCUUAAGUCCAUUUUGGUAAAAGCUAUAGUUCAAUUAGUUUUCUUGAUUUUCUUAAAAUUUUACUCAAAGUUUGUGCCUUAUGUUGUACAUUUGCCUCACGGGCUGGCUAACUGACCUACAUGAGGCUGGCCAACUGAUCUGGAGGUUCACUAUCUAUGUUCUUUCAUUUCAUUGUCAAACAUAGAUAUUCUAAAUCUGAAAGUCUGUCGAAAUUUCCUAUGGAGUCUUGUGGUACCUUUAGUGUUUCUUAUCAUGUCCAGUAGAAGGUCUUGGAAAACAUAUUUGCAAUACAUGAUAUUUUUUAAAUCAAAAGUAGUAAUAUGCUGUGUAAUUGCCUUCUUGCCUCCUGACAUGUGGCAAAUUCAUUGAGCGUUUUCACUUACAUCGCUGGCAUAUUCAGUGAACAACGCAAAGAUGAUGGUUUUGAGUGAGAGGUCCUUUGGUCAAGGUAAUUUCAGAGCAUUGAUUUUCAAUGUACUUGUAAACCCAAGAGAAAGUUGAGCAGGCCACAUUCAGUUGUUAACUGGACUGUUGGCUUGCUGCUAUGGCAACAUGUUUUCAGCCUUAUUAUUACUUGCCGAGUUUACAUUGGGAUCUGAAAACUGGACUGUGUGCCAUUAGUUUUGUCUGUCUCCAGGACAUUGCCCAUGCACAUGAACUGACUGAUUACCAUGAAAAUUCACCUGUUUCAGUUCCAAACUAAUUAUUGCUUCAAGGUCACAAAGCUAUAUGAAAAUCUGUAUCCAAUUGAAUGCCGGAACUCUCUAGGAUGAUGUCAGGCAUUCCCAUUUAUAGGUUAACCUGAAGUGAUUCUUGAAGAUUAGUUUCUGCGUGGUUGAUUUGAAUUGUUUGUAAUAUUGUAUGCUUCAUCUUGAUUACUAUCAAUUUCACAGGUCAUGUUCAUUGUGAGGAAUGGAGCGCAAUAAUGCUUUGUGGUAACUCUGGGCAGACGAAAAUAGGCCACCUCUACCAUUUUCUUGAUAUUUAUUUUCUGAUAUCUGACUAUUGUAUUUGUCGUGAAAUUUAAAUUGUAGACGCUAUCAGAUCAUGUGUCACUUCAUGCUUUGAUCAUGUGAAAAAAUUCAGUGUAUUUACCCAUGAUCGGUGCCUUGCCCCGAGGGGUCUUUAAUUCCUGGAGGGGUCUUUAAUUCCUGAAUUAGGCAACGGUGAAUUUUCUUCUUAAUAUAUAGAUGCGCAGCUCUCCCGCAUGUUCGAGAAAAAUGAGGCAACAGUGACACAGCGCUGGUAGAAAGUAGAAAGUGAAGAAGCGGUUUGAGCAUAUUGCUACUGACAGCUACCUCCGCAAGAUUUGGCCGGUACUGCAAGCUCUGAGUUUCACAACUCUGAACCACUUGGUAAAAAACAGUCUGAAUUUUGUGUUGUGAUUAACUGACUAGACAUCCGAAUAAAUUAAUGUACUGAUAUUCUGAAAUUUGUUUUAGCACUGGGACUCUCUGGACUAUCCGGUGGAAUCAGGCCUUGGCAGGACUGAGGCAGAUGUGGGGGGUGACACCGUGCAGGUGAGGUGGUGGUGGUAUCUGGCUCUGGCAUCUCCCUUUAUCCGCUUGAUGGAAUGGCAGCAUGGGUAUGGAGACACCUUCAGCAUCUAAACAAAGCCCAAAAGGUACAAAGAUACUAUUUAAUCACUUUUGAUUUGUUAAUUUGCUAUCAUAUAAAUUGCAGUAACAGGUCUUGAGUAAUAUGUCAAUGCUAUAAUUUUGCUUGCUUGUUGUGUGUCCUCUCUAAAAUCUUUUCUUUACCAUAUAUAUCCAUAUGCACAAGAUAUUUGCAGUUACAAGUAUAAUCCUCAAGGAGUGAAAAGCUUGUGAUUCUGUCCGUGCAGGCAACAGGCAUUGAUCGCUAAUCAGCAUGGCCUCCACAAGUACCCAUCAUGGGAAGUGCAGCAACCAGUAUUGUGUUCAAACCUGAAGAAAAUAUAUGGGGAUGGCUGGGUGGCUGCACAGCUCAUGGCAGGGACCAAUUUGGAGUCUGCAUCUUCUUUCCCAUAUAUAUAUGAUAUUUCCAUAUACUGUCAGGAUGCUAUUAAACUGCCUUCACCAGAUUACAAUAAACUGUGAACUUCAGAACUUUAAUUUUCGAUAAGUUGGAGUCGACGCUUAAAACUUCAGAGCUUUAUUUACUCCUAUGUACCAACAGCUCUAAAUUUUUGUGCACUGCACCCUUAGUUUUUUAGUGAACAAUACUGAUUGCUGAGGUUAUAAUGCAUCUUUCUAUGUGGGACUAUAGUUUUGUCAAGUAAGGCUAUGUACACAUUGAUAAAUCUGCUUCAGAAUAAUAUUGCUAAUAUCUCACUAUCUGAAGAAAGUCAGGUUUAUCAGUUAUUUAUAGAAGACUUGCUUGUUAGAAAGGACCUAAAUAGGUUUUCUUUGUCUAUGUGAAUUUUCGGGGAAUUCUGCUUAUCUUCCACGGAUAGAUGCUACUUCUCCUGUAAUAUUGAAUUGGGUCAUGUGUGUGUCAGCUCUUUGCUUGCCAAAGGAGCUUGUGACUUGCAACUACUACUACUUAUUCAAUGAUCUCUAAUAAUUGAAUCAUUUUGUUCAGAUUCUAAUUAUCAGGUCUUUUCCUCAUCUCUUUAUGUUUUGAGGUGUUGGAUGAGAAAGGGUUAAUGGUGGUUGCUACCAUUCUACAAGAAAUUAGAGAUUGUCAUUAUGAGUGCUGUAGUUGAAGUGGGGUUAAUGUUAAACCAUGAUGGUACCAAGGAGACUUCAUCCAUUUGAAUAUUCUACACUCAAGAAACAGAAAGGUGACAGUUGUCAAAUACAUAUUAUGAACUAGCUGAAAUUAAAAUAUUCUUGUAUUCCUUAGAUUAUUUGUGUCAUGCAAACUCCACUUUAGAAAAUUCCAUUCUAAAUUGCUGUGUGAGAUUAUGUACCAUUCUAAUAUGAUCUCAUGGGGGAAUUAUUUAGCCCAUAGCAACGCACGGGCACGAUCCUAGUGGAAUUGAAAAGAAUAGAGAUCGCGUAUGACAAGAGUACUCUAGGUAAUAUUUCUUCAAAUACCGAUUCAGCUCCCUCAUUUUCACUUCAAUAUUUUCACCAAUGGUAUAGAAAUAGAACUUGAUGAAUUCCACGUCUCAUCGAGCAAAACAUCUCGAAUUGCUAGCAACAUCUUCAAGAAAAGGUGGGCUGUAGGAUGCCUGUUUGCGGAGAAUGCUUUGGUUGCCUCACUUAAAGCAUCACGAAUGUCCUUUACUGCUUUGUUAUUCACACUAGCAUUGUCUAAUGUCAAGGUAAACAGCUGUUCAAUCAACUCCCACUUCAUCAACCACAACUUCUUGUCCUAGAUCCAUAUCACCUAGAUGACACAACUUCUUAGCCUUCGGCCUAGUAUCUUCCAAGUGAACAAAAGAGCCUGGAAUGUGAAUAAGAUCAACAAAUUUGAAUAAAAUACCAACUUGUUUUGGUUUUACUGACUGCUUGUAUUUUUAGUACUACAAUGAGUAGGUUUGAAGAAAAUAUGAUUCUGUAUAUGAUGCAGUUGUUUUGGCUCACAGCUAACUGUAUUUUGUUCCCAUGAUAAAAAAAUUCUGAUCAGAAAUCUUGUUUUUUCACUUCAGAUUAGAAGUAAUGUAAGAUGUCAGAUUAAUGGACGAUGAGGAGCAUAAGUUUUAGGCUUCGAGGACACAGUGCCCCUCCAAUUGCAUACUGAUACUGCUAAAACGAAAGGGGACUGAGGUGACUGGGAUAUCAUCAGUAUCAGAUAUACUAGCAGCUAUGUUCAUGAGCUUCUAUGUGGUGAAACAAGCUGGAGAUGACUAAGGUAUAGGAGCUUUUUUUCACAGAACAGUAGGACCAUUUUCACGAGAUUCAACUGCCUGAUCUUAACUGAAUGGUAAACAUAAGCAAUACCAGUAUGCAACCAACAAAAGAUCUUGCACUCCCAUCUUACAUUCUCUAAAACAGUAACAAUUCUAAGUUCACAGAUCUAGUGGUACUAAAAAGCUCAAUGAACGAAUUUAAUUUGCCAAUGCCAUCCUCCUGCUCUACAAAACCCAAAAACUCAAGCAGAUUGAAGCUGCAAAGGAGAGUUUAAAAAUAGCCAACACUAGCAGAAUACUGCACGAACUAGGCACAGCGCAGUAUAAACAAAAAGACAAAUAGGAAAGGCAAACACAUCAGAUGAAAAUCACCUGCACGCCGACGCCACCUGCGUCCGCUGCUGAGGCCGCCUGCUCUUGCUGGCCGCCGCGCGUCGGCCUAGCCGCACGCCCUGCCGGAGCCCGCCGGGGGCCGGCCCCACGGGAGCGCCUCGCACCCCCGCACCGCCCGGAUCUUGAGUUCUUGCGCCGCCGCCGCCGCCGCACGAGCCUGGAGAGGCCGCGAAAAAGAGGAGAGCCCCUUUCCUGCGAUCCACGGGCUCAGCCCUUCCAAUUGACUCAAGGAUCGAUUAUGGGCCACGUUCACAGGUCAGCCCUUUUAUGGAGAUGGCCCGAUCUGAUCCUGCCCAUUCUUCGGGAAGGCCUUUUAAGGCUCGGCCUAUAUGAGCUUGUAAGGCCCGAUCGGUUUGGCCCUUGGAUUUUCCAGGCUUAAGUAUAGGUAUAAGGUUUUCUACGUAUCUAAAAUAUUUUCCACUAGAAAAGGUUUUCUACGUAUGUAAAAUAUUUCCACUUGACUACCCGAUAAGGCAAUCAUUCGUGUGGCACAUGCCCGGGGCCUACUCGGAAAGUGAGUGCGCAUCCUCUCACAUGAUUGGACACAUCCACUUGACUCCUCAAAGGUCGUCAAUGCUUGCAGCUUGCAUUUUCCACAGAAGCAGCAGCUCUUGAACCCACUGUCCAGCAUCUCCCUCUCCACCCACCAACACUGUGUUUCCCUGUCUACUGCGCGUGUGUUUUGGAGCUCCCGGCGUAGCCAUGGCUGAGGUACUGGCCACCAUGGUGGUCGGGCCACUGGUGUCCAUGGUGAAGGAGAAGGCCUCCAGCUACCUCCUGGACCAGUACCAGGUGAUGGAGGGCAUGGAGGAGCAGCACAAGCUCCUGAAGCGCAAGCUGCCGGCCAUCCUCGAUGUCAUCGCCGAUGCCGAGCAGCAGGCGGCGAAACACAGAGAAGGGGCCAAAGCUUGGCUGGAGGAGGUCCGGACGGUGGCCUACAAGGCGAAUGAUGUCCUCGACGAGUUCAAGUACGAGGCGCUUCGCCGCAAAGCCAAGGUGGAGGGCCACUACAAGGCGCUCGGCAUGGAUGUAAUAAAGCUCUUCCCUUCUCACAACCGUGUUGUGUUCCGUUAUAAGAUGGCAAAAAGGCUCUGCAUGAUCUUGCAAGAAAUUGAUGUCCUCAUCGCAGAGAUGAAUGCGUUCAGGUUCAAAUUCAAACCGCAGCCGCAAAUGCCCAUGCAAUGGAGGCAGACGGAUGCUUGCAUCCCCACUGAGUCUGUGGAGAUUGCCAGCAAAUCAAGAGCUCAAGAGACGAAGGUUCUUGUUGAUCGAUUGCUUGCUGGAGCCAGCAGUAAGGAUCUCAUGGUCCUUCCGAUAGUCGGAAUGGGGGGGUUGGGCAAGACCACCUUAGCACAGCUCGUUUACAAUGACCCUGAAAUUCAGAAGCAUUUCGAGUUGCGGCUCUGGGUGUGUGUCUCUGAGGAUUUUGAUGUGGAUUCCCUGGCUAACAGAAUAGUGAAAGAGAAUGGUUGUAAAGCAAGUGAAAGUUCAUCAGCACUGGACAAUCUUCAAAAGGCAGUGAGUGGGAAGAGGUACCUCCUCGUAUUGGAUGAUGUGUGGAACCGUGAUGAGCCCAGCAAGUGGGAAAGGCUCAAGUCCUACCUUCAGCAUGGUGGCAGCGGUAGCUCAGUGCUGACAACAACUCGCGAUGAAGCUGUUGCUAAACUAAUGAUGGGUACAACUGAAAGAGCCUAUAAACUUGGAAGCUUGGAUGAAGAGUCCAUAGGGAAAAUUAUCAAGGCAAGAGCAUUCGGUUCAAAACAAGAAAAGGAAUGGCCUGGUGAGCUAGUUCACAUGGUUGGUGAAGUUGCCAAGAGAUGUGCUGGUUCUCCUUUAGCUGCUACAGCAUUGGGCUCUUUACUGAGUACCAAGACCAGCAAGCAAGAAUGGAAGGAUGUACUAAAUGGAAGCACGAUUUGUGAUGAGGAAAAUGGGAUUUUACCAGUACUUAAACUAAGUUACAAUUGCUUGCCAUCAUACAUGCGGCAAUGCUUUGCUUUCUGUGCUAUGUUUCCCAAGGAUUAUGAGAUUGACGUGCAAAUGCUAAUCCACUUGUGGAUGACCAAUGGUUUUAUCCCAGAGCAAUCAAAAGUGUGUCCUGAAACUUUUGGAAAAGGAAUUUUCAUUGAGCUGAAGUCAAGGUCAUUUUUUCAGGAUUUGAAGAAUGUCCCAUUUUACGAAAAUGGAUAUUCUAUUCAUGGAGAGGGUGAUGAGCACAGGUAUUGUUCUAGAAUUACUUGUAAGAUCCAUGACCUUAUGCAUGAUGUUGCACAGUCUGCUAUGGGAGAAGAAUGUGCUGCAAUAGCUACACACCCAAGUGAAAGAGAGGAUGUUCUUCGUUCAGCUCGUCACUUGUAUUUGUCAAUCCGUCGAUCAGAAACUCUUCUGAGUGCUUCCCAAGAGAAAGGAUCUCCAGCUUUCCAAACACUGAUUUGUGACGGAUAUGUAGGAGAUUUGAAGAUUUUAUCAAAAUACAAUUCUAUAAGAGCUUUAAAGAUCCGUUGUGGUUCAAUCCUAAGGCCGAAAUAUCUUCAUCACCUGAGGUAUCUUGAUCUCUCGAGAAGUGAUAUUGAAGCACUUCCUGAAGACAUUAGCAUCCUAUAUCAUCUGCAAACACUGAACCUUUCUUACUGUGACUGGCUUGAACGGCUUCCAAAGCAACUGAAGUAUUUGACUGGCCUCCGUCACCUCUACACUCACGGAUGUGAAAAGUUGAAAAGCAUGCCUGCAGAGCUCGGACGCCUGACUUCCCUACAGGCGCUUACAUACUUUGUAGCAGGUACCGAUGACUCCGGUUGCAGUAAUUUGGGAGAGCUGCAGAAUUUGGACCUUGGUGGUACACUGGAGCUAGGAAAUCUAAAAAAUGUGACAGGAGCAGAUGCACAAGCAGCAGGUCUUGGAAACAAGAAAAAACUGACCCAACUGGAGUUAUGUUGGACUGAUAGUGACCAGGAAGCACAGAAUAAUAAUCAUAAAGAGGUGGUGGAAGGUCUCAAACCUCAUGAUGGGUUAAAGGCUCUGAGGAUAAAUCACUACGGGAGCACAACUUUUCCAACGUGGAUGAAUACUUUGAAAGGCAUGGUGGAGCUCACAUUAUUCCGUUGCAAAAAGCUCGAAGAGCUUCCUGCACUCUGGGAGCUAUCAGCUCUGCAAAUUCUUCACCUGAAGGGUUUGGAGAGUUUACAUUGUUUGUGCAGCGGUGGUACUACACCCAUCACAUUUCCAAAACUGAAUGUACUUAUCUUGUUAGAAAUGGCAAAAUUUGAGGCAUGGCGGGAGGCACAUGAGGUACAAGGAGAAGAGCCGAUAUUUCCCAAGGUUGAGGAGCUGGUGAUUAAGGAGUGUACAAGUUUGACUGCAUUACCAAAAGCAGCGUCGGUGAUUACAGAAUUGUCUGGCAGAGUUGACACUAAGUGCCGCUCUGCAUUUCCAGCAUUGAGGAAAAUGAAGCUAUAUAAGUUGACUGUGUUUGAAAGAUGGGAGGCAGGCGAAGGAAUUUCAGGCGAAGAGGUAACCUUUCCUCAGCUUGAGGAGCUGUCAAUCGAGUAUUGUGGCAGCCUGAGUGCACUACCAAAAGGGCCAUUUGGCGGAGCUGAAACUGUGUGUUGCUGCUCCGCAUUUCCAGCACUGAGGAAACUAGAGUUAUCUGGUUUGUUGGCCCUUGAGAGGUGGGGGGCAGCCGAAGGAACUCCAGGAGAAGAGGUAACAUUUCCUCUGCUGGAGAACUUGAGUAUCCAUGAUUGCCCGAGGUUGACUGAUCUACCUGAAGCACCGAAGCUAAGUGAAUUAUCCAUAAGUAAAGGACAUGGUCAACAACAAAUAUCCCUAGAGGCAGCUAGCAGAUGCAUCCCUUCAUUGUCCCGUCUG